GCGCAAGCUCUCUAUGCACCACAGCUCUUCUGGAAGCUUUCUCAAGUAAGCACAUGGGUUGACAAUUAAGCUUUCAAGUUUCGGCAUUGCUCCAGCCCCCAUCGUCCACUCAUCUAGCCAAUACAUUGAUUUCAGGUGCAAAACCUUAAGUUCGGGAAAGCUACUCAAGCCAACACAAGCAAGCUUUCUUCCUAAAUACGAGUUCUGCUUCAGUUUCAGCACUCGAAGGAGUGGAAGAUUUUCCAGAAUUGGCAUGGGAUCCUCCAUUAGCUCAGUAUUUGAUAAGCUCAGUUGGAUCAGACUUGGGGGAAAUUGGUAUUCAGACAGGACCAUCCGUGAGGGCUUGCUCUCAUUCACCAGCUUCAAGCAUUCAAGUUUGUGGAGUUCGCAAAGGCUUUUGGAAACCCCAGAUUGAUAGUAACUCAAAUCUCCAGAUAUCCGAAGAGUCUGAACACUAGGUAGUCUGCCCAAUAUAUCAGGAGUACAACUACUAGGGUUUAAAGCUGAUAUGAAAAUGAGAUUUUUCAGAGAGCUAGAAUAAUUUUUUGGAGGUGCGGGCAGAGUGAUAGAACCAAAGUUUAGAUGCAUGAGUUUUUGCAUCAUCCAAAUAUCCUCUGGUGACUGAUCUAUGUAGCUAGAUGGCAUUUCUAGUGUUUCAAGGUUUAAAAGGGUGCAUAGCAGUGAAGGAAGGCAUUUGGGCGAAGGGAUAUUCAAUUUCAAAUACUUCAAAAGGAAUGAAUUUUCUAAUCCGGGUGGAUAUUGGUCCAGGACUGCAGAACCCAUGUUCAAUACCCGAAGGUAUUUGAACCUUUUAAAAAAAUUCUCGCAAUCUUUCGAAUUAAGAUGAUUGCUUUUUGAACUGUGAUUCAGAAAAGAAGUUUCUGCAGAACCCAUGUUAGAAUGUUUCAAAGAAAAGAAGUCAAUCUGAUUACCCAAAAUGAUGUACCGUUUAACAUUUUCCGGUGGUUCAUCUUCCAUGUCAAGCAUCCAGACAAAUCCCGUCUUCUCUGCCACCAAUAACAAUGAAUAAUAUACAAUACUUGGAACAUAACACGCUUUAAUCGUGCCUCCGGCGCUUCUCUUACUCACUUGAAUGAAGCCGCGAUGGAUUAGUUCUUUCAAGUAAUGUUCGGCCGUCUCCUCACUGUUGUAUGGUAUGAAACCUUCAGCUACCCAUAACUGAUAUAAUUGCCUCGUGGAUAUCUCAAUACUUGGAGGGAAGACACACAAAUAGAUGCAGCAGACUUUCAAGUGAAAAGGUAACUCCAUCACAGAGAAAGUUUGUCUCCAUACUGUCGGAAUCGCUUCGCCUUGAAGAUAAUUUCCUAAUGGCAUACUUCCAUAGUGUAGGACGAAAAAUUGCCAGGCUUCAAGCUUUAAUCUGAUCAAUGGUCCUCCAAUGAGCACCGAAUCAAGCCGAAUCUUCUCUCCGUUUUCCAUUUUCAGCGACGUAAGGAGUUCUGGUUCAGUGACCAAUAUCAAUACUCUGCUUCCAUUCUCAUUAUCAGGGAGAACUUCUUCGAGAUCACUCCAUAUCUCACUGUAAUCGAAGACGUCAUCAAGCACAAUAAAGUACUUCUUGUUGGUUAGGUAAUCUCGAAGAACAGAUUUCUUCAAUUGAUAAUGUUCACCGAUAAUUACACUAACCCGAGAUGGAGGCAUCACAGACUUGAUUAUGUCAUCCAAUAUCCAUACUUUAUCGUAGGCUAUAGAAACCCUUACCCAAGCAUGACAGUCAAAAUAGAACUUGACACGGUUAUUAUUGUAAGUAUCUGCAGCAAAAGCAGUCUUAUCGAAGCCACUGCUGUCGAGAAUUGCAACCACUGAAAGCCCAGAUGGUCCCUCAAUCAAUAGAUCAAAAAACUUCUCUCUGCCCCUUUCAAAUUCACUGAUAUCGAGCCGAGGUUGUCCCUCACUCAAUAGGCGUAUGAUUUCGUUCCUUUUUUCACUGAUAUCAAAACCAUUGUCGCCGGGUGGAAGUUGUUGCAUCCGAUUUCUAAUAUCAAUGAUUUUAGUGUGGAGUCCAACAAGAAGAGCCAUAUCAGUACUGCUUUCACUUUCGUUUUCACUGUUUUGCUGCUGCAUGAUUUUGAUGAAGAAUGUGUCAAUGGCUUCCUCAGAUUCAUGGACAAAGUCAUUGAUGUCCUCCAGAAUUUCAAAAAUAUCUGCUGUUUCAACGUCUUCUUCAUCGCUUUCUUCUAAGUCCAACAGUUGCAAAAAAGGCAAUGAUAUUUUGGAGUCAUCUAAUUCUUCUCUAAGGAGUUGAAACAAAUGCCGAGCCAUGUCAGCUUCAUAGUUUCCCAGCAGAGUAGUAGCAAUAAUUUCGGACUCCGUAAGAAGGUUUUGAAAACGUGGAGUUAAAUUUGUUGAAUCUGGCAAAGUUAACGUGCCUUCUUCACCUGCUAACACCCUUUUCAACCUCUCACAAAACAGUCGGAGGUGGAAUUCCAGCAUAUCUCCUUCUCUCCGUAGCACUCAGAGGUAUAGCUGAAAGAUUAAACACCAUGGAAGAAUUUGAAAGGAAAAUGCCAAGAAAUUGUGUAAGUGGCUAAAUUCCACAAAUAUGACAUUAUUGCUCAUUUUUUAACUCAAAAAAAGGGUACGCGUUCAUUUAGAGAAAAGUCCAAGACGCGUGCUUUUUGAAAAGAACAGGUAUCCCAAUCGGUAUCCAACCUUUAUCUUAUUUAAUUACUACCAUGACAUAAUUGAUGGUGCUUAAAUCAAUUGUUUCUUUUUUAAUUUAAAGAAUUUUUCAUUAAAAAAAUAUUUUAAUAUCAAAUUGCCUUCAGUGGCGUAACAACUGCCUGAAGCCCAGUAACAGGACUAAUUAAAAAUUUUACAAUUUUUGGGCAUGGAAAUAGUAGUAUUAAACAUUAGAAAGGUGAGGUUGUUCUGUUAAAGAAUUGAUAUUGACAUAAUUUUAUUUUGGUUUUCGUGGAAAACAAAAAUAUUUGUUGACAAGCAAGAAAAUAUUUUUAUUUUUUAAAAUUUAUUAUGCAUAUUUUAUCAUAUUGAAGUAAUUUUAAUAAUAAAUAGAAACAUAAUAUUACAAUAAAUAAAUUAAAAUUUAACUUAUUUUGAAUAUUAUAAAAAAUAAUUUUAAUAUUAUUAAUAGGAAGACAUUGUAUUAAUUUUAAAAUUUUUUAACCCAAAGGUUUAUUUAAAAUCUUUAUUAUAAAUACAAAUAUAAAAUUAAAUAUCAUAAUUUAAAAUUUUUAAUAUUAUUUUAAGUAUUAAAAAUAUUUUAAUGUUAUUAGUCUACUACAUAGAUCAUAUUACUUAUAUAAUAUUUGUAUUAUUAAAAAUUUUUAAAAUCAAAUUUUUAGUUAGUAUAUUCAUGAGGUAUUAUGGUUACAAAAAAAAGACCUUAUUAUUACUUUUUAAAAAAUUGAGGGUCUGCGAUGAUAAUUUUUUCAAAAAGAAAAUACAUGGUAUGUAGGAGGGGUAGAGAAACAGGACUUCCAAAAUCUCUCACCCUUCUUUAAUUAAAAAAAAAAUUAAAAUAUUAAUAAAAAAUAAUAAAGAAAAUAGAAUUUUAUCUGCUCCUUACUCCAUUUUUGCAACUCUCUCAACAUCUCUGUCGAGCAGCCUUCUCUCUCAUUGUCUCUCACUAUUUCACGAUCUCUCUCUCACUCACACAGGCAAUGACCAUCUCAUCAUCGGCGGUCGUGUCGUCAGUGUCACUGGUCUUGCUCGACCGAGACAGUGAGAGAGAGGUUUCUUAGAUGGAGUGAUGAUAAAGGAUUCUAUUUUUUUUAUUAAUAUUUUAAUUUUUAAAAUUAAAAUGUGCUGCCGUUUCUCUUGUCUUUUUAGCUGUUUAGCAGCACUCUUUUCAAAAUUUAAGAAUGUAGGUGUCCUAUAAGAGAUCGAUAAAAGAACGUCAAUUAAAUUUAUAAAAAUAUGAUAAAAGAACGUCAAUUACUUGUCUUUUAGGGAAUCCAAUGAGAAAUAUGAUAAAAGAACGUCAAUUACUUGUCAUUUUCAAUUUUUUUCUGUAAGCUAUUUAUUUUGAGCAUUAGUGAUCUUGUCUGGACUACUCCAAUUAUUGACGUAACUCCAGUGGCUGCAAUUAAUGAUAUAAAGCUGAGACUUUUGACCAAGUUAUCUAGUUGGGAAAGCAAAUUUUUUUCCAGUGGGGGUAAAGAAGUGUUGAUUAAAGCUGUUGCUCAGGCUGUGCCAGCCUAUGCAAUGAGUGUUUUUAAGAUCCCUCAUAGCUUUUGUGAUGACAUUGAGAAGGCUAUUACUCGUUUCUGGUGGGGUUCCUCUGAAACAAAAAGAAGCAUUCACUGGACAAGGUGGGAACAGUUGUGCCACGCCAAGAUAAGGGGGGGAUUGGGUUUUAGAGAUUUCUCUAGUUUUAACCAAGCCUUAAUUGCUAAGCAGGGGUGGAGAAUUCUGCAGCACCCUGACUCUUUAAUGGCAAAGAUUCUGAAAGCAAAAUAUUUUAAGCAUACUGGUUUUAUGGAUGCGAAAUUGGGUUCACACCCCUCUUUUGUUUGGAGAAGUAUAUUAUGGGGUAGGCAAGUGCUCCAUAACGGCCUAAGAUGGAGAAUCGGCAGUGGGAGUCAAGUUUUAAUUUCCAGUAGCAAUUGGAUAAAAAACCAUAAGCUUCCCAGUUUGGUUCCAUAUUCAGAUCUACCUCCUGAAACUGUAGUUGCUGACCUUAUUGAUGAAAGUCACCAAUGGAAAGAAGAUAUGGUUUUCCAAUAUUUUCCAAUGGAUGUUGCAAAGAGGAUCACCAGAACCCCUCUCCCAAAAACUCCCCAGCAGGAUCUUCUCAUUUGGAAAUAUGAUAAGCACGGAAUUUACUCGGUGAAGAGUGGGUAUCAAUUGGCUGUUAAGCAAAAAUUCCAAAAUUAUCCAAGUUGUUCAGAUGUUACCAAGUCAAGGUGGGAGGUGAUAUGGGCUACGGAUCUUCUAGGAAAAGUCAAGAUUUUUAUUUGGAGGGCUGCUCAAAAUCUUCUCCCUGACUUUUCUUGCAGCCCUCUAGUAUUCAGGGCAGCCUUAACUUCAUCCAAUGAUAAAGUCUGUCUCCCAUACAUGAGUGCAUCCACAAAGUUUGAAUAUGAGGAUGGAAGUGAACUAACCAGAAGCAAUGCUUUACCUUCAUCAUCUAAACCUUCAUCAAUUAUUUCCAAUGUAUCACAGACCUGAUUGAAUUCAUCAAUGUGGUCUUCGAGAGAUGACCCUUCAGCCAUCUUUAGUGUGAACAUUCUUUUCUUGAUGUAAAGUCUGUUGGCUAAUGAUUUAGUCAUAUACACCCUUUCAAGCUUUGCCCACAGAUCAGCCACUGUUCUUUCUCUUGCAACUUCCCUGAUCACCGAGUCUCCAAGACUCAAGAUUAUGGUACUCCUUGCCUUUUUGUCAAUCUCAGCAGCUUGUUGUGGUGUUAGUGAUGAUGAAGAUGUGGAGGCUUCUAAUCCUUCUUUCUUGAUGAUAGGUUCUAAGGCAUCACCUAGCCCUUGAGUGAUCAGUAAUGCCUCCAUUUUAACCUUCCACAUGUUGAAGUCAUUCUUCCCUGUAAACUUCUCUAGAUCGAUCUUUGAACCAACCAUACUUGUGUCUGAUUUGUAAUCCAAGCUCUGAUACCAAUUGUAGUGUUUAAGAGUGACUAACUAUCCCAAUCAACUCAAAACACUUCCCAAGAUCACACCCAAACAAACAAGAUGUACCAAGAAUCAAUCCAGUAGAAUACACACAGAUUAUUAGAACUGAAAGAAUUAAAGAAAAGGACAAGAAUUAACGUGGUUCAGCUAGCUUCAGUCUAGCUUACAUCCACGGGAGAAACAGAACCCAAUUGUAUUGAUUGUUUAAAGGAGUUACAGAGAGUUCAUCAAGCUUGUUACAGAGUCUCUCAAGAAGCCUUUUGUUAUUAAUCUUCUCAACUCACAAUAGCUCUCUCUUCUUUUUUCUCUGUUGCCAGAAUCAGCUGUAUAUAACAGCUUGUUAACGAAUCAGCAACCAACCCAGGAACCCACGUGACAGUCAUGUGAGUUAACUGAUUCUAACGAACCAAGAACGCAACUUAUCCAUGCACGUGAAACUCUCGUGCAUCACUUAACCAAAACGACCUUCAUACAUGUCGUUCCAGGAGAUACGAGUUUGACUUUCCAAAACGCAGCAUCAGCUGACGUUUUCACAAACAGAUUUGCUUCACAUCACAACAUUGGGGGUAGUCAUUAGAAACUCUGUGGGUAAGGUUGUUGCUGCAGCAGUCCAAGGAGCUCCAUAUAGGGGAGAUGUGGCGUGUAUGGAGGUUGAAGCUGUUCUGUUUGGUAUUCAGAGUGCCCAACAAGCAGCUGUUUUCCCAAUAAUUAUUGAGUCGGAUUCAAAGGAAGUGGUGGAUCUAUCCUUAAAGAAAAAGAUCAGCAAGACUGAAAUUGAGUGGAAAAUUGCAGAAAUCCAAGCAAAUCUGGAAAAUCAGAAUGUGUCCUCGCUGUCAUAUGUCCCUAGAAGCUGUAACUCUAUUGCUCAUUCUAUUGCAAAGAUAGCUCUAGGUUUUGAAAGUCAAGUCUUUUGGCUGGAAAACUUUCCAGAACAUAUCAGGUGUACUCUUGCUAAGUUCAUCAAUUGAAAAGCUUUACUUUGCUCAUCAAAAAAAAAAAAAAAAAAAAAACUCCAGUGGCUGCAUCCACUGGAAAAAGUGGAUGAGAACCAUUUUUUUUUCAUAAAGGUAACUACUCACAUAAUUGAUGGUGCUUAAAUCAAUUUUUUCUUUCUUUUUUUUUUAAUUUAAAGAAUUUUGCUUUAAAAAAUAAUUAAUAUCAAAAUGCCUUCAAUGUUGUUACCCUCACAAGCCCAGUUAGAGGACUCAUUAAAAAUUUUAGAAUUUUUAGGCCUGGAAAGCGUAGUAUUAAACAUCAGAAAGCAAAGGUUUUUAUGUCGAAGAAUUGAUGUCGACAAAAUUUUAUUUUAGUUUUCGGGAAAAAAAAUAAUUUGUUGACAAGCAAGAAAAUAUUUUUUAUACUUUACAAUCUGCUAUACAUAUUUUAUCAUAUUAAAGUAAUUUUAAUAAUAUAUGGAAACAUAAUAUUAUAAUAAAUAAAUUAAAAUUACUUUGAAUUAUUAAAUAUUACAAAAAGAUAAUUUUAAUAUUAUUAAUAGGAAAACAUUUUUUAAUUGUAAAAUCUUUUUAAUACAAAAAAUCAUUUAAAAUCUUUAUAAUAAAUACAAAUAUAAAAUUAAAAAAUAUCAUAAUUAAAAUUUUUAAUAAUAUUUAAAUAUUAAAAAUACUUUAAUAUUAUUAAUCUACUACAUAAAAUAUAUUAUUUGUAUUAUACUCGUAUUGAUUAAAACGUUUUAAAGUCAAAUUUUUAAUUAGUGUAUUCAAAGGUAUAAAAGAUUUUAGUAUUAUUUUUUAAAAAUUUCAGGAUAUGAAUGAUAAUUUUUUCAAAUUUUAAAGAUGUAAGAAUCUUUUUUUCUGAUAAUUUAUUUCACUUUUAAGAGAAUCCGAAAACGUUAAUUUAACAUUCUUUACCUUUGUAUAAAAAGUGAAAAUCAAGAACUAUUCAAUUUUGUUUUUAUUUGUAAUUCAAAAACGUUAUUCAUUUUCGAUGCUUUUCAAAAGAGAUUCCUUUAAAUCCUUUUGGUGGCUGCAGCUCCUGCAAUUUUCAUAAAUCUCCAUCCCACAUCAACACUAUCAAACAAGUUGAUGGAAAUUCUUAUCAAAAUUCCACAAAUAUGACGUUAUUGCUCAUUUUUCUCUCAAGACGCGUGCCUCCUGAAAAGAGAUACAUUGAAUAAGUCAAUUGAUUACAUUGUGGGUAAUUAAUUUAGAAGUGAAGCAGAGAAUAAAGUCCUAGAUGCCUUUAGAAAUUAGAAAUACAUUUUAUAUGCUUUAAUUAAUGAAUUCACUGAGGCAUUAUUGAUCCAAUCCCAGUGAAGUAAUUGUGGGUGAAAAAAAAAAAUAAAGUGCUGAAUUGGCUAUUAAAAAAGAGUGUCACUUGAUCACAAUCACAUUGAUCCACAACUCACUCGAGGCAAAUUUCAUCUAUGUGUACUGCAAAUUUAGCCAAACCAUGCAUGCAUGAACAAAAUUAGGCCGUAGUCCUCAUCACAACAUUAAUUGAAGCCACAAAAGCCAGCAAAUCCAAACGAAAACUUAAAAGGAAGUCUUUUAACUAUUGGAAACAUUAAUCAUUUUACAAUCUAUUACAUAAUAAAGAUAAAUUUUAUAAUAAGUUAAGUUAGAACUAGGGAAGGCAAAUUUUCCCGAUGGGAUGGGAUCCUGCGGGAUCCCAUCCCAUUUGGGACGGGAUUGAGACAUAUUUUUGUCCCAUAAAAAAAUUUAGGACGGAAUUGGGAUUUUUUUUAUCCCAAUUACAUAUGCGGGACAUGAGUGGGAUUGACAAAUUCCGUCCCAUCCCAUCUCAUUACCGAUUAAUAAUGGAAAUUUUUCCAAUUGGGAUGGGAUCCCGCGGGAUCCCAUCUCUUUUAGGACGGGAUUGGGACAUAUUUUUGUCCCAAAAAAAUAUAAGGACGGGAUUAUGACAUUUUUUCAUCCCAUUUGCAUAUACGGGAUGGGACUGGGAUUGGUAAAUCCCAUCCCAUCCCAUCCCAUUGCCAACCCUAGUUAAAACAUAUCAAAUAUUUUCAACAUAUAUAAUUAUUUAAGAAGUCUUUUAACAAUAUUUUUUUUUCUUUUUCAGUUAAUCAUGUCAUAUACCGUUAUCUAAAACGCUGGCGAUAUUAUUAUUCCUCACUUUUCUCAAAAAAAAAAAAGAAAAAAAAAAGAAACAUGAUUAACGUUUAGAGAAAAGUCAUGCCUUUUAAAAAGAAUAUGUAUACAAUAGCAAUCCAUACUUUAUAAAAUUGAUGGCGAUUACAAAGAAAAAUUGUUUAAAAUAGAUUUGAUGCACAAAUAUGAUGACUUUUGGCAAAAAUUAGUUUCGGAAAUGUUGAGAUGAAAACCAUAUUAAUUGAGAAUUAAAAUUAUUUAACUACCAUCUAAUAGAUGAAAACCAUAUCAAUUGGGACUUAAAUUAAAAUUUAAAUAUUGAAAUAUCUAGCAUUACUCACAAUAACCAAUUCAAAUUAUGACUAUCAUGUAGAAGCAAAUGUUUAUGCGUGGGUUUUUUACUUCUUGAAUUUGAUUGGAAAAAUUUCUAAGAUAGAGAAGUGUUUUGGAUAAGCUUUUCGGGAUUGAAACCACAAAUUGGUAGAGGAAAUUAAUUUUGGACAAAUUUUUCUUAUAUUGUAGGACCUUCUAGUUGGAGUAGUGAUGGCUUUGUCUUCAUUUUUGGUUCCUUUUGUGUCGGCAGCCCCUUACUAUUCUCUUGACCCUGAGUUUGAGAUAGAAAUUUAUCAACCUCCAACCCCACAUCCACAAACAAGUUGAUUGAAACAAUUGCUCUUUUAAUUAAGAGGACCCAAAUGAUUUAGGUUUCAGUUCUUAUCAUUUGUCUAUUAUUUCUUUGAAACAUUUAUUUUGAGCGUUACUGAUCUUAAUUAUCUGUAUUUCUCCAAUUAUUGAAGAAUUUCAAGUGGCCACUUUUUCUCCUUUUUAUAUAUGUUUAUUUUUUGGAGUGAUCAAACGGGUGCAAAAUCAAGUAUUCGCUGGUCCGUAGUUUAGCCAACUAUGGCUGAUCCACACAGUUGAUUAUAUGAUACUAUUAGCUCUCAAAAUCUUUCUUAUUUGAGAACAUAAAUUGCCCAUUAAAGUUAAACUAUGUUACCCAGCUCCAUGCACAUACAUUAAAUGUUUAGGUAGUUUUACAAAAUGAUAACAGCAUGCCAAAACUUGAUGUUGUCAUAUUCGACAUUUCAAAUUGAAAAAUACGCAAGCAAUCUUCAGUGAACAUUACGUGUUUAUUGAAUAAUUUAAAUGGCCAGUAAAUCAACAGUCCGUGAGUUUUAAAUCUAUUAUGACUUAAUGUAUCUUUCUGUAUUUGUACACAUAUUAUAUUAUCAUAGUUUAAAAUUUUAAUAUUAUUUUAAAUGUUAAAAAUACUUUAAUGCUAUUAGUCUACUACACAGGUUAUAUUAUUUAUAUUAUAUUUGUAUUAAUUAAAACUUUUAAUGUCAAUUUUCUAAUUACUAUAUUAAUAAAGUAUUAUGGUUAAGAAAAAGUUUUGGCAUUUCUUCUUGAAAAUUUGAGGGUCUGCAUGACAAUUUUUCCAUAUUCUAAGGGUAUAAGUUUGAAAAUUUAACAUUCUCUAAAUUGAUGAAACAAAAAGGGGAAACCAAGAACUAUUCAAUUUUGUAUUUUUUGUUUGUAAUUCAAAAAAUGCAUCCACCAAACAAGUUUUACGCAUUAAUGCUGUCAUAAAACGAAAAACAAUUUGCCAAAAAAGGGUACCAAACAUAUCCUUAAUGUCUCACAUGAUUUCUUAGUAAGCCCGUAUUAGAUAUAUUUAUACAUUUUAGGUAUUUUAGUUAUAAAAGAAGUUGGCCCUCCCUUGUUUAUAAAAAAUAACUUUAUUCAUGCACAUAUGCCAAAAGAAUAAAUAGACAGAAAGUAAAUUUACAGUCCUCACUUCCUCACAAUUGUUAACGUGAAGAUGCAUUACAACUGUGAACUGUCACUACUUUAGCCUUUUUUUUUAAAAAAAAAAAUUAUAGUGUGAUGGAGACAUUAAGGAUGAGCAUAACAGUUAAAGAUGACUCAUUUUCUUUUUAAAGUGCUCUGCUGAAAGCCGAACUUCCUUUGGCUAAUUAAUUUAGAAGUAAAGCAGAGAAUAAAGUCCUAGACGCCUUCUGAAAUAAGAAAUACAUUUUAUAUGCUUUAAUUAUGAUUAUUUGGUAGACUAAAGACCUAAAAGAUAUGUCAAAAGUAUAAAACAGAGCGAUUAAAGAAAAAAGAAAAAAAACAGAGUAUUUGUGACGUAGAAUAACAAUUGGUAAAUAAAUCCUAAAUAUUUGAGUUGUUAAAAGCAAAUAUAACAGAGACGGUAAGAGAGAUGCAGAAACAGAAAACUAUUAGCUUAUCUUGAUUUUUCCACUAUAUUCAUUUUCAAUGCUUUUCAAACGAGAUUCUUUUAAUUCUUCUGGUGUCUGCAGCCCCGGCUAUUCUUAUAAAUCUCCAUCCCACAUCUGCACUACGAACAAGUUGACUGAAAUUAAAUAAUGUUGGAGAUGAAGGGUGAGCCGUCAACUUGUUAAAAAAAAACUCAUGUAUAAUAUUAUCAAUAAUAUAAAAUAUAUAAUAAUUAUUACAAAGAAUCAUAAAUUAGAAAAAUUAAUUAUUUUACAAUCUAUUUCUUAAGUAAGGUGGCGUUUGUUUUUUCAUCUGAAAUCUGAAUAGACCUGAAUUAAUCUGAAUUCUGAAUAGAUCUGAAUGUCUGAAUCUGAAUAAUAUGUUUGUUUUUUUGUUUGAAUCUUGGAAAAUAAGUAUUAAGUUGUUUGUUUUUUUCAACUUAAAAAGCUGAAAAUAUGUACUUUUACAUUUAUAUCCUUAUUAAAUUUGAAUGUCAAAUAAAUAAUAAAUUAAAUACCACAAUAUUUUAACAUUUAUAAGUAAAACUAUAUUCAAGUGAAUACAUAAUUAUUUUGGAAUUUUAAUAGAUAAAAUACUAAAAAUUUUAAAUUUUAUCGUAUAUAAUAUAAGAAAGAAAAAAUAGGAAAAUUUUCAUGUGGGGUAAAUGUUUAUGGGUGAGUUUUGGGAUAGACAUGAAAAAUAAAUUAUAAAGCAGGGAUAUUUUUGAUAUUAGCAAGUAAUUGACUUAAUUCAGAUUUCUCCAUUAAGUAAAAAGCCAAAAGAAUUGGCUUAUUUUAUUAAGUCAAAAUUAUCUAAAAAGUCUCAUUAAGUUAUAAAAACAAACACCUCUAAUUAACUUAAUUAAUUAAGUUAAGUCACUUUAAGUCAUUAAGUUAAAAAACAAACGCCACCUAAGAUAAAUCUUGUAAUAAGUUAAGUUAUAACGUAAAAAAUAUUUUCAAUUUAUAAUCAUUUAAGAAGUCAUUUAAUAAUAAAAUCUUUUUUUUUUAUCAGUAGGCCAUGCUACAGAGUAUCAUCUAUAUUCGUGGUGAUAUUAUUAUUACUCAGUAUCCUCAAAAAACACGAUUUAACAUUUAGAGAAAAUUCCUGCCUUUUAAAAAGAACAUGUAUGCAAUAGCUAGCCAUACUUUAUUUUACCACGACAAAAUUGAUGGUGAUUAAAUCAAUUUUCUCAAUUAAAGCAAAAUUUUUUAAAAUUGAUUUAAUGCACAAAUAUGAUGAUUUUUUGUAAAAAUUAGUUUUGGAAAAUAUAGUGAGAGAAAAUGGUGACGAUUAUUUUUCAAAUGUGCAAAUAGCCUAAACAUAAUCUCUAAUACCAAUAUCCAUGUGCAUCUUAACACCUUUCAUGAUAUUCUUUCAUUCAUGGCCAUUUGUUCAAGAUUUGAAUUUGAUUAUUAAAUUAUGUUCAAUAAUGUUAGAGAUCCCAACAAUUGAGUACCAACUUAAAUCCCAAUGCUAUGUGUCAUUAACAAAUGUUGUGUCAUUUAUAAUUAUUGAAUGAAUAAUUCGUUAAUUUAUUGAUAAAUGAAAAUUUAUUAAUUUAAAGAGAGAUAUUUUUUUUUGGUUUUAAGAAGAGUUUUGUUGGUACAUGUACAUACUUAUAAAGAAAUAAACUUGUAAUUAUACUAUAUCUUUCUUUCUUUGUUCAGUUUGGUGGGAUAUUGUGAUAAAUCAUUGGAUUAAAAUGCAUUUCUAAAUUGAAACUUGUUAAAAUCUAAUUUAUUUGGGAAACACAUGUUAUUUGUCAGUCGUACUUCUCAACUUAGCAAGUUAUUUCUAACUUGUCAGUCUCUAUUGGUUCUCUUAAAGUUAAUAGUCUCGAAUCUCCCGCAUUUGAUAUCUUGCCAUUACUCUUGGCAUUAACAUGUUACCUGAGAUUGGGAUUCAUUAAAAUCCUCAAUGUAAUCGGUGGAACGAAUGGAUUUCUUCUGUUCACCAAUCCACCAAAAUUUCUGUAAUUAAAUUCAAAAGUCAAGAUCUAUGCUUAUAAUCUAUUCAACAGUUAAUAUUCUAUUUUAUAUUUACUUAAAUAUGAAGAGCUAUGCUUGUCAUUAACUUCAAAUGUGAUCGAAGCAGCCUUACAUCUGUAUAUUACUUAUUCCCAACCUUUUUUUUGACUUCAUAUACUUUCUUUUCAUGUUAUUUACUCUUUUUUCCCCCCUCUCUAAUGGGGUCAAACUUGAAAGUAUCUUAAAAUCAGACAAUAAUUUUUUUUUUAUGAUAGAUGCUAAUAUGCUCUAUUAGGCAAUGAUAAGUAAUAACCUAGUUGUUUGCAUUAGAAAUGAUAUUUUUUGUGGUGCUGAUAAAGUGGUUGAGUAUGAUUCAACAAUUUAAAAUAUGAAAACAUGUGGAAGACGGCUGCAAAUAAAUUGAUUGUAUGAAAAUAUUUCAAUGAAAUUUUAAAAAUUUAAUACUUGUUAUCUUAUCGAGAGUUCCCAAAUAAUUGGGCUAGUUUAAUUACCGGCCUAAUUAUUGUAGCCACUAUUGUAUGUUCCCAAAUGAUCCCCGGGUUAGCUCAUUUAAUUGACUGCACCACUACUGGACUAAUAAGUAAGAUAACUAGCUAUUUGGGUCAAAAGCCUAAAUAUAUCAUUUAGUGGGAGGCUCCAUUUAAUUAGCUUUUGUAUAAGGGGCCUUAUGUUAUUUUACAAGGUGGGUCCCCUAUUGAAAAAGAAAAUAACGUGAGUUUUAUUUAGGGCAUUAUUUGGAGCCUAGGGUUUUCACUAAAGGGAGAUAUAUAAGGCUUAUUUUCUCUAAAGAAAAAAGAAAAGCCACUUUAUACAGAUCAGAGAAUAAGAUUUUUCUCUCCAUUGUUGAGAGAAAAAUUUUCUCGUGCUAGUUGCUUUGGUAGUGAUAAAGGCGCCCACACGUCAAGUGCAGAUCGAACCUGAGUCAUAACCUGGAAGAUCAUUGGUGACAGUUCAUGAUCUAACAAGCGUGGUGGUGACGGUUCGUGAUCUAACAAGCGUGGUGGUGACGGAUCGUGAUAUAACAAGAGUGGUGGUGGCGGAUCGUGAUCUAGGAGCCUAAAUCACUUCAGCGGAAAAAGCCAACUCGGAUUUUCAAGGUACGAUUUCUAGAAUACGAAUUCUUAUAUAUUAUAUGAGAGCGAUCUUCAAAAGGUUUUAUAAAAAUUUAAAAGCAGCAUGUGCUGCUGGCAGCUCGCUGCUGCGUAUGUAGCAACUGCAGCGCGCGAGCAGCAGCUGCAGUGCCCAAGCAGCAGCGUGAACGUGGGCUGGAGGCGCAGAGCGUUCUGGUUGGCGUCUUUCCGGCGUCGAUGACGGCUGUCCGGUGUGGAAACAGUAAACAACGGCUGGGUUUUUGUGCUGGUGGCGGCUGGGGAAGAAGAGGAAAAGAAAAAUGUGAUUUUAGGGUUCCAUGGUUUUUAUCGUGGAGGUCCCUAUAGCUUCAUAUUUUUCAGUUGGGCAGAAACGUUUUUUAAUUUUUUGCAUUUAAGUCCAAAAACCGUUUUGGGCUUAAAGAAUCCUAGUUUUAGGCCCAAUUUCAAUUGGGCUUAAUGGAUUAAAAAAAUGCAUAGACAAAAUUAAAUACAUUAAAUUUAUUUUUGGUCCAAAAGUUUUAUUUUAAUAAAAAAAAUUAAUUAUUUAUUUAUUUCCUUUCAAAAUUAAAAUUGGACCAAUUAUAAAUUUAAAAGCCCAAUUUCCCCUAGUCCAUUAACAAAAACAAGCUUAUGGAAGAUGGACAUUGACAAGAAGCCCAAUGAAGAUUAGGCAUAGGGUUAAUGUAUUUUUCAUUAUUAGGAAAGGCAUGAAUUAAGAUUAUUUAAUUGUUUUUCUAUAUGUUAUGUUUUGGAUGAUAACAUGCCAUGAUAACAUGUAAUAUAGAAUAGGUAGUGCCACUCUAUGCAUAAUGAUACAUGUCAUUCAUUAAUUAUGAAUUUCAUUAUAUUGUUUGAAAUUUGCGCAUGCUUAAUAAUAUUUGAUAUCAUCUAGAUAAUAUUAUAGGAAGCAUGCAAUUAACAAUAUGUAUGUUUUAAAAAGGAAAAACCAAUUUUAAAAUAUUGAGUGGGAGAGGGAAAAUUCAAGAUAAUUUUCCCACGGGCUCCAUUGUUAGUUCAAUAAUAAAAUUAUAUAUAUACCUCGACUUCAUGAUACAGUGAUGCUCAUUACGGAGGGUAUAUAUAUUAGAUAGUUUAUUUGAUGAACUUCUUCAAAGAUAAAAUUGAAAUAUUUUUCAAUCGAUUGUUCACCCCAACGGUGACUAUUGAUAUGAAAAAUACGUAGAUUGAAACAAUGGUUAUACACUCAACUAAAGUUUGUUAUUAAUCUUCCCAACGAAGCUCUGUUAACAAAUUUAGGCCCAAAAAGAUAACGAUAAUUAUUUAUCAUGUCUCUACAUGAAAGUAAAUAAUCCAAUGGGUAAUUGGGUCUAGUAAGUAUAGACAUGACUUCCCCACCGGAUAGCUUGUCAAAGCAGUACUAGAUUAUCGUUACAAUAAAUUAAAAUGCAUUUAUGGUUUUUUGCAUUUUUUUCAUUUAUUGUGAAUAUUGAUUCAAAUUAUUUAUGCAUGGAUGUUUUUAUUUUUCAGAAAAUGUCUUCCCUGAGCCCACUUACUAUUAUUCUGAGUCAAAACAAACUCACUGGAGAGAACUAUAUAGAUUGGAAAAGAAAUCUAUUCAUUGUCCUGACUGCUGAAAAUUAUAAAUAUGUCUUAACCCAGCCAUGCCCCCCAGUUCCAGCGGAUGAUGCUCAUAGAAAUCAGAGGAGGCUUUAUGAGAAAUGGCAAAAGGCCAAUGAAAUGGCAAAGUGCUACAUUUUAGCCUCGAUUUCUAAUAUUCUGCAGACCAAACAUCAGAACUUGGAGACUGCCACUGAAAUAAUGAAUAGUCUCCAACAGAUGUUCGGGCAGAGUACUCGCUCUGCGAGACAAGCAGCGCUGAAAGGAAUUAUGAACAGUAAAAUGGGGAAGGGCACAAGAGUUCGUGAUCAUGUCCUCAAAAUGAUGGACUAUUUGAAUGAGGCUGAGAUUCAGGGAGCACAAAUCGAUGAUAACUCAAAGAUUGACAUGGUGCUAGAAUCUCUGCCAGAAACAUUCAAGGAGUUUAAGGUCAAUUAUAACAUGAACAAAAGAAAUAUGACCUUAACUGAAUUGAUGAAUGAACUCCAUUCUGCUGAAGAGAUCUAUCGUGCUGAGAAAUCUCUGGGAAGCAUAAAUUUUACUGAAAAAAGUUCAUCUUCUGGGCCUAAACCGAAAGGCAAAGGUAAGAAGAAAGCUGGGAAAAAAAGACCGUCUACCAAGCAAGAUGGCAAGCCGAAAGGCAAAUGCUUCAAGUGUGGACAGAAAGGUCACUGGAAAAAGGAUUGCCCUAAGAUUGUGAAAUCAGGUAUGGGAAAUCUUUUUUGUAAUUGAGGCCUGUUUAGUUCAGAAUCCUAUUGACACUUGGGUGUUGGAUUCAGGAGCAACUAAUCAUAUUUGUAAUUCACUUUAUUGGUUUCAGGAAACCAGGAAAAUAAGUGAAAGAAGCGUCAAGCUGCAGUUAGGGACAGGACAGUUCGUGUCAGCAGUAAAGACUGGAUCUGUUUUAUUAUCUUUUAAUAAUGAGACUUUAGUUUUGAAUAAUUGUCUUUAUGUUCUAGACAUUAAGAGGAAUUUAAUUUCAGUAGCUUGUUUGUCAAAGCAAGGGUACACUGUAAAUUUUGGAUCCUCUGUUUCUAUUUUUCAUAAUAAGAGACUUAUUUGUUCUGGUACAUUGGAAGAUAAUUUAUAUCAUUUAAGUCCAAUGAUCCAUUCUAUGCAUGACACAGUGAUAAAUAAUAAUGAGCAUACACAUUUAUCUAAGAAAAGAAAUAUUUCUUCCAACCAAUGUUACCUCUGGCAUUUAUGCUUGGGUCAUAUAAACCAAAAUAGGAUACAAAGAAUGAUCAAAGAUGGGCUCUUGGGUCCAUUAGAAAAUGAAUCAUUGCCACUCUGUGAAUCCUGUUUAGAAGGGAAAAUGACCAAAAGGCCAUUCUCGGCCAAAGGAGUACGUGCAACAGUACCACUUGAAUUGGUACAUACAGAUGUAUGUGGACCAAUCAAUGUACAAGCUCGAGGAGGUUAUGAGUAUUUCAUCACUUUUACUAAUGAUUACUCAAGAUACGGUUAUGUUUAUCUGAUGCGUCAUAAGUCUGAAGCUCUUGAGAAAUUCAAAGAGUAUAGGGCUGAGACAGAAAAGCAAUUAGAUAAGAACAUAAAGAAACUUCGAUCUGAUCGAGGUGGUGAAUUUCUCUCAGGAGAUUUCAAAGAGUAUCUGGUUGAAAAUGGGAUUAUAUCUCAAUUGACUGCCUCGGGAACACCACAACAAAAUGGGGUAGCUGAAAGAAGAAAUAGAACUCUUUUGGAUAUGGUGAGAUCUAUGCUUAGUUAUUCUUCAUUACCAAUCUCUUUUUGGGGACUAGCACUGGAAACUGCAGUUUACCUUUUGAACUUAGUUCCAUCUAAGUCAGUGCCUAAAACCCCAAUAGAAUUAUGGUCAGGUCGCAAACCAAGUUUACGACAUGUCCGUAUUUGGGGAUCACCAGCACAUGUGCUGAAACCAAAGGCAGACAAAAUGGAUUCACGUUCUGAGGUUUGUAUGUUUGUGGGGUAUCCCAAAGGAACAAGGGGAGGUUUAUUUUAUAGUCCUCAAGAUAGGAAAGUGAUCGUGAGCACACAUUUCACUUCCCUUGAGGAAGACUAUAUGAAUAACUUCAAACCUAAGAGUAAGGUAAUACUUGAAGAGCUGUCAGGUGAUCAGGUUGAUGCUCAGCUUUCAACGCCUGUUACAGAACAGGAAGAACAGCAACAACCAGAUGAUCAACACAGGAUUAACCCUGAACAACCAUCACUUUUAUAACCUCGUCGUAGUGGGAGGGUAACUAGGUUACCUGCGAGAUACAUGUUUUUGGGAGAAAUCUAUACGGCUAUCUCAGAUGAACAUGUACAAGAUCCCACUAGUUACAACGAAGCUCUAAUAGAUAGAGAUGUUGAAUUUUGGAAAAAGGCCAUGAAUCAAGAAAUGGAUUCUAUGUAUUCCAAUAAAGUCUGGGAACUUGUAGAGGCACCAAAUGGGAUAAAACCUAUAGGGUGCAAGUGGAUCUACAAGAGAAAAAGAGGAGUAGACGGAAGGGUGGAAACAUUUAAAGCAAGAUUAGUAGCCAAAGGGUUUACUCAGAAAGAGGGAAUUGAUUAUGAGGAAACUUUUUCUCCGGUUGCUAUGCUUAAAUCCAUCAGGAUUCUGCUCUCCAUUGCUGUAAUGCUAGAUUAUGAAAUUUGGCAAAUGGAUGUCAAGACUGCCUUUCUUAACGGGCAUCUUGAAGAAAACAUCUACAUGCAGCAACCAGAUGGAUUUAUACAAAAAGGCCAAGAACACAUGGUAUGUAAGUUGCAGAAAUCCAUUUAUGGAUUGAAACAAGCAUCCCGGUCAUGGAACAUCAGAUUUGAUCAAGCGAUUAAAUCGUUUGGAUUCAUUCAGAACAUUGAUGAACCAUGUGUGUACAAGAAAAUUCAAGAAAAAUCUGUAGCCUUCCUAAUUUUUUAUGUAGACGAUAUUCUCCUAAUUGGAAACGAUAUAGGAGUAUUGACUACAAUAAAGAGUUGGUUAGCAAAACAAUUUGAUAUGAAAGACCUGGGAGAGGCAAGUUAUAUUCUUGGUAUCAAAUUACUACGAGACCAGAAGAAUAAAACUUUAGCCUUGUCUCAAGCGGUCUAUAUCGAUAAGAUAUUGGCUAGAUUUAGCAUGGAAAAUUCCAAGACUGGUUUAUUACCAUUCAGACAUGGAAUUACAUUCUCUAAGGAUCAAUCACCUAAAACAUCUGAAGAGAUAGAGAGAAUGAGACGAGUUCCCUAUGCAGAAGCUGUGGGAAGUCUUAUGUAUGCCAUGCUUUGCACUAGGCCAGACAUCUGUUUUGCGGUAGGGAUGGUUAGUAGAUAUCAAUCUAAUCCUGGACCUGAACACUGGACUGCGGUCAAGCAUAUAAUGAAGUAUCUGAAAAGAACUAAAAAUUAUAUGCUUGUGUAUUCUGGUGAUGAACUCAUUCCAGUGGGUUAUACUGAUUCUGACUUUAUGUCAGAUAAGGAUUCCAGAAAAUCAACUUCCGGCUAUGUGUUUACAUUGGGAAGUGGAACUAUUAGUUGGAGGAGUGUGAAACAAUCUUGUAUCGCAGACUCCACAACUGAAGCUGAAUAUGUGGCUGCAUCCGAAACUGCAAAAGAAGCUGUAUGGCUCCGCAAGUUCCUACAAGAUCUUGAGGUGGUACCUGCUGUAACUGCACCCCUUAAACUAUUUUGCGAUAAUAGUGGUGCGGUAGCUAAAUCUAAGGAACCACAAGAAACAAAAACAUAUUGAGAGGAAGUAUCAUCUUAUAAGGGAUAUAGUGCAGAGAGGUGAUGUGGAGGUUACUCAGAUUGCGUCACAGCAAAACUUGGCAGAUCCUUUUACUAAGGCCAUACCUGGGAAACCUUUUAACUUGCACUUGGAAUCCAUGGGCAUGCGUGAGAUGCCAAAUAUGCUUUGAGAGCUAGUGGGAGAUUGUUGGGAAAAUAUGCCCUUUAAAAGCAUAUGUGUUUAUUUAAUUGUAAUAAACAAUUUUUCUGAUUAAUAAAAUAAAUGAGGUAUUUUAUUCAAAUAUCUUAAUUGCAUUAAUAUUUGUAUUAAAGUCCAUUUAAUCAUAUUAUAUGUAUUUAUGUGAUCACCAUGUGGAUUCACAGAAGACAUAAAUACAAGUUAUCUUAUGAUUAAAUAAAUUUAGUUCGCAGUUGAUAAAUAAAGUUGGGCACUUUAUUUAGGUAUAGACUGUAAUAAAUUCAUUGAAUGAUUUGUCUUAAUCAUGUAUGAAUUUAUUGAUGUAGUACGACUACAUUAAACAGGAUCACAUGUGAGAUUUAAUUAACUUUGUAAUAACUGUCAGACUUAUUAAAUCUUAUAGGCAUUGAUUUUACUGUAAUCUUAAUCUUGAGUUAAUUAUGAUUUCAUGAUUGUAAUUGUUAUUCCAUUUGAGUUACCAAUGGGCACGACACAUCCUUGUGGUCAAGAUUACCCGGUAUCUUGGUGGGAGCAAUUAUGAGUAUUGGAGUUAUGGAUUAACAAUAUAGAAUUUGUACAACACAUCUCUCGAUAGGUUUUCGGCACUUGAUCAUAGAAUUCUUUGGCCAGAGUGUGUCAACAUAUUUAGUAUGUUGAAAAUGAUCAUUAGAGAAAACCAGUAAGGAUCAAGGAAUAAGAUGUUAUUAAAUUGAUUGGACAGUUGAGAUAUCAAUUUAAUUAACGAUGUGGUACAAAGGAUUGUGCAGUAAAGAAAUCAAUGUGGCUUGGGACGAAUUAUUAUUCGAGCAUACAAUUAUGGAAGUCAGUUCCAAUCUUUUAGUGGAGUAGAUUUGGAAUUAAAUAAUUGGGCUAGUUUAAUUACAGGCCUAAUUAUUGUAGCCACUAUUGUAUGUUCCCAAAUGAUCCCCGGGUUAGCUCAUUUAAUUGACUGCACCACUACUGGACUAAUAAGUAAGAUAACUAGCUAUUUGGGUCAAAAGCCUAAAUAUAUCAUUUAGUGGGAGGCUCCAUUUAAUUAGCUUUUGUAUAAGGGGCCUUAUGUUAUUUUACAAGGUGGGUCCCCUAUUGAAAAAGAAAAUAAUGUGAGUUUUAUUUAGGGCAUUAUUUGGAGCCUAGGGUUUUCACUAAAGAGAGAUAUAUAAGGCUUAUUUUCUCUAAAGAAAAAAGAAAAGCCACUUUAUACAGAUCAGAGAAUAAGAUUUUUCUCUCCAUUGUUGAGAGAAAAAUUUUCUCGUGCUAGUUGCUUUGGUAGUGAUAAAGGCACCCACACGUCAAGUGCAGAUCAAACCUGAGUCAUAACCUGGAAGAUCAUUGGUGACAGUUCAUGAUCUAACAAGCGUGGUGGUGACGGUUCGUGAUCUAACAAGCGUGGUGGUGACGGAUCGUGAUCUAACAAGAGUGGUGGUGGCGGAUCGUGAUCUAGGAGCCUAAAUCACUUCAGCGAAAAAAGCCAACUCGGAUUUUCAAGGUACGAUUUCUAGAAUACGAAUUCUUAUAUAUUAUAUGAGAGCGAUCUUCAAAACGUUUUAUAAAAAUUUAAAAACCGAAUUUUUUCACCAACACUAUGUAGCUAGAUGGCAUUUCUAGUGUUUCAAGGUUUAAAAGGGUGCAUAGCAGUGAAGGAAGGCAUUUGACCGAAGGGAUAUUCAAUUUCAAAUACUUCAAAAGAUAUAAAUUUUCUAAUCCGGGCGGAUAUUGGUCCAGGACUGCAAAACCCAAAUUCAAUACCUGAAGGUGUUUGAACUUUUUACAAAAAUUCUCGCAAUCUAUCAGAGCGAGACGAUCGCUUUCUGAACUGUGAUUCAGAAAAGAUUGGAGACGCAUGUCAGAAUAUUCUAAAGGAAAGAAGUCAAUCAGGCGUUCCACAAUGAAGCACCGUUUAACAUUUGCCACUGAUUCUUCUUCCAUUUCAGGCGUCAAGACAAAUCCCGUCUUCUUUGCCACAAAAUACAAUGAAGUAAAUUCAAGACUUGGAACAUAACACGCUUUAAUUGUGCCGCCGGCGCUUCUCUUACUCACUUGAAUGAAGCCGCGAUGGAUUAGUUCUUUCAAGUAAUGUUCGGCAGUUUCUUCAUCGUUGUAUGGUAUGAAACCUUCAGCUACCCACAACUGAUAUAAUUGCCUCGUGGACAUCUCAAUACUUGGAGGGAAGACACACAAAUAGAUGCAGCAGACUUUCAAGUGAAAAGGUAACUCCAUCACAGAAAAAAUUUAUCUCCAAACUGUCGGAAUCGCUUCGCCUUGAACAUAAUUUUCUAAUGGCAUACUUCCAUAGUGUAGGAUGAAAAAUUGCCAGGCUUCAUGCUUUAAUCUGAUCAAUGGUCCUCCAAAGAGCACUGAAUCACGCCGAAUCUUCUCUCCAUUUUCCAUUUCCAACGACGCAAGGAGGUGUGGAUCACUGACCAACAUCAAUACUCUGCUUCCAUUCUGAUUAUCAGGAAGAACUUUUUCAAGAUCACUCCAUAUCUUACUGUCAUCGAAGACAUCAUCAAGCACAAUAAAGUACUUCUUGUUUGUUAGGUAAUCUCGAAGAAUAGAUUUCUUCAAUUGAUAAUCUUCCCCGAUAAUUACACUAACCCGAGCUGGAGGCAUCACAGACUUGAUUAUGCCAUCCAAUAUCUUGCCAAAAUCGUAGGUUAUCGAAACCCUGACCCAAGCAAGACAGUCAAAAUAGAACUUGACGUGAUCAUUAUUGUAAGUAUCUGCAGCAAAAGCAGUCUUAUCGAAGCCACUGCUGUCGAGAAUUGCAACCACUGCAAGCCCAGAUGGUCCCUCAAUCAAUAGAUCAAACAACUCCUCCCUGCCCCUUUGAAAUUCAUUGAUAUCGAGCCGAGGUUGUCCCUCAUUCAAUAGGCGAAUGAUUUCGUUACUUUUCUCACUGAUAUCAAAACCAUUGUCGCCGGGUGGAAGUUGUUGCAUCCGAUUUCUAAUAUCAAUGAUUUUAGUGUGGAGUCCAACAAGAAGAGCCAUAUCAGUACUGCUUUCACUUUCGUUUUCACUGUUUUGCUGCUGCAUGAUGUUGAUGAAGAAUCUGUCAAUGGCUUCCUCAGAUUCAUGGACAAAGUCAUUGAUGUCCUCCAGAAUUUCCAAAAUAUCUGCUCUUUCAACAUCUUCUUCAUCGCUUUCUUCUAAGUCCAACAGUUCAUCGAAAUCUUCUCUAAGGAGUUGAAACAAAUGCCGAGCCAUGUCAACUUCAUAUUUUCCCAGCAGAGUAGUAGCAAUAAUUUCGGACUCCGUAAGAAGGUUUUGAAAAAGUGGAGUUAAAUUUGUUGAAUCUGGCAGCGGCAACGUGCCUUCUUCACCUGCUAACACCCUUUUCAACCUCUCACGAAAUAGUCGGAGGUGGACGUCCAGCAUAUCUCCUUCUCUCUGUAUCACCCAGAGGUAUAGUUGAAAGAUUAAACACCAUGGAAGAAUUUGAAAGGAAAAUGCCAAGAAACUGUGUAAGUGGCUAAACCAUGAAAAAUUGAUCAUUUUUUUGCAUUGUAAGUUGCGCGUUCAUUUAGAGAAAAGUCCAAGACGCGUGCCUUUUGCAAAGAACAGGUAUCCCAAUCGGUAUCCAACCUUUAUCUUAUUUAAUUACUACCAUGACAUAAUUGAUGGUGCUUAAAUCAAUUGUUUCUUUUUUAAUUUAAAGAAUUUUUCAUUAAAAAAAUAUUUUAAUAUCAAAUUGCCUUCAGUGGCGUAACAACUGCCUCAAGCCCAGUAACAGGACUAAUUAAAAAUUUUACAAUUUUGGGGCAUGGAAAUAGUAGUAUUAAACAUUAGAAAGGUAAGGUUGUUCUGUUAAAGAAUUGAUAUUGACAUAAUUUUAUUUUGGUUUUCGUGGAAAAAAAAAAUUUGUUGACAAGCAAGAAAAUAUUUUAUCAUAUAAAAGUAAUUUUAAAAAUAAAUAGAAACAUAAUAUUACAAUAAAUAAAUUAAAGUUUAAAUUAUUUGGAAUAUUAUAAAAAAUAAUGUUAAUAUUAUUAAUAGGAAGACAUUUUGUUAAUUUUAAAAUCUUUUUAAUCCAAAGGUUUAUUUAAAAUCUCUAUAAUAAAUACAAAUAUAAGAUUAAAAUAAAAAUCAUAAUUUGAAAUUUUUAAUAUUAUUUUAAAUGUUAAAUAUACUUUAAUGUUAUUAGCCUACUACGUAGAUUUUAUUAUUUAUAUUAUAUUCGUAUUGAUUAAAAUUUUUUAAAGUCAAUUUUUUAGUUAGUACAUUCAAGAGGUAUUAUAGUUAAAGAAAAGAUUUUGGUGCAACUGUUUUAAAAUUUCAGCGUCUAAAUGAUAAUUUUUUUAAAAUUUAAGGAAGUAGGUAUUAUUUUUCCAACAAUUAUUUUACUUUUGAGGGAAAUCCGAUAAGAAAUAUCAUCAAAGAACAUUAAUUUAACAUUCUUUACCUUUAUGAAAAAAGUGAAAACCAAGAACUAUUCAAUUUUGUAUUUUUUGUUUGUAAUUCAAAAAAUGCAUCCACCAAACAUGCUUAUCUUGAUUUUCCCACUUUAUUCAUUUUCGAUGCUUUUCAAAAGAGGUUCCUUUACUGGUCAUUGUCUACACUAUCAAACAAGUUGAUGGAAAUUGAACCCAUUAAGUUAUGUUCAUUACUGGUCAUUGUCUUUCUAUGAGCCACUUAUUUGGAGCAUUAGCGAUCUUAUAAGGAAUCAUGCCUUUUCAGGAUCGUUUUCUUUCAUUUCCCUAUUGUAGUAGUUAAUUAAAUAAAGAACGAACAGCUGAACUUGGUCUAUUUCGAGGAAGACCAAGGCUUCCAAUACUAGAGGAACUUUGAAGAAAAUUAAUUGGAAACCUUUAUUCAUCUUUGAAGAAAAUUACGUGCCAAUGUAACGAAGGCUUUUAUUCAUCUUCGGACUAUGAAUUUGUACAAAAACAUUAACAGAAAAUAAUAAAGACACAGCUAAAUGAUAGCAGCAAGUGCUGAUUUAGUGAACCACUUCUACAAGUAAAUAAAAACUAAAUAUUUAUUUUGACUAUAACAACAACUACCCUCUUGAAUAGGACUCUACAGCAGCCACAUGACAACUAAUUUCUCCAUAAUAUUAUUAUUAGUAGAAGUAGAUUUUCAAAAUUGUCUUGAUAUAUUUCAAAGUUGUAUUAUCAGCGUAUAUGUAUCUAGAUUGUAACUAUAUUUUAAAAAAUAUAAAAAUUUUAAUUAUUGCACAGUAAUGUAGAACAAUAUCUACAAAAUAAUAUUGUUAGGACUAAGAAAAAAUAUUAUUUUAGAUAAGUUAUUUAUUUAUUAUUGAAUGAAAAAUUUAUCAUGAUAAAUGAAUAUUUAUUAAUUUAAAGAGAGAUUUUUUUUGGUUUUAAGAAGAGUUUGUUUGGUACAUGCACACACUAAUAAAGAAACACAAAAAGUGCUUCCUCAAGUCAAUAGUAUUUGCUUUAAUUGCUAAGGUGCAUAAUAACGUAGCUUAGUUAGGAAAUUUGUAAUUAUAUUAUGGCUCCGUUUGGUAUAAUUUUUUAACUAGAACUUAUUUAAGGAGGGCUUUUAUUAGUAGAGUUUUUAUAAAUAGAGAUUUAACAAAAAAAAUUAUAGUUAUUUAGUUGUCAAUGUACAAAUUGAUGAAUUAUUGUUCUUUUUGUUAACAUGUGUUUGUUUUACUUAAUAAUAAAAGUUUAGUUUACAACAUUGAAGUUCAGCAGAGCAUUUUUGCAGCCAGUCACAUUAUACAUUAUACUAAUAGCAUCGGCAAGAGUUUUCGAUUGUUGCAACUUGCAAUGCACACGAUGCGAGAAAAUGAGAAUCUUGUUUAAUUGCAAUAUUGACAAACCUAAUCCUUUCGUAGGGAGUAAUUUAAUAAUCGUUCGUUAGUUGAAGCGUUAAUUUAAUAAGCGUUGAUUUCCCUUCGAUAACUCGAAGUCCACGACGAUUCUUCUUCUUCUCUGCUGCUCAUUACGCUUCUACCCAAACCCUAGGAUUCAAACCUUUGCUUAGGAGAGAAUCAAAGCGAUUGGUGUUGGAGGUGAUUGAGGCUCUUAGAAGCUUAGAGGUGUGUUAAUUCAAAUUCUUUUGUCGAGAUAAGUAAUUUCAUUCCUAAUAUACUGGAUAUGUAUAAGUAUUUUGAUGUUAUUAUAAGAGUUUUUAUACUUCUUAGAAGAUUAAUAGAUUUUCAUACCAAAAUUAGUUUAUGAAAAUGUUUUCAAAUCUGAAUUCUUUUGAUAAAAUAUUUUACAAAUGCGUUUUAAUAUGUAAAUUAUUUUAUGACAUGACUGCCUUUUAUGAUUUUGUCUAUGAAAUAUUUUUGCAAGCCUAAAUUGUUGCUAUAGACUUUCAUGAAUCUAAUAUGAAUGUUUUGUGCCUAUGUAUGAUUUUAAUUAUUUAUGACUGUACGGGGGCCACCUCUUGAGAUUAUAUGGGGGCCACCUCUUGAGGGCCAAAGCGCCGCAAAGUGCCACAUAGAGUGCAAAGUGCCAUGUAUAAGUCAUUAUGUUUUGGCUCAUUGUCCGUAGUUAUUCUGAUUCUAAUUCUGAUCGUAUUAUACGAUAUAUUUGUUCUGGACUAGUACUAGGUUUAUGUUCUAAGUGUGCACACGAUAUUCUGAUUCUGUUUCUGGUCAGGUCACCGAGACUAUAGGUGAUACUAUGUGACAUGAGCUAACUAUCUGCUUUCUGUGUACACUUUAUACGAUUUGCUUUCAUAAUUGAUUAUUCUUUUGAUACUCUGAAUUACCAUGAAUUUAUGUUAUAUAAUUGAAAUAUGUUGUUUUAUGAAGUUUAUGACUUAUAAUAUAUGUUUUUGAAUAAAAGAAGGCUUGCAAUAUUUUUGAUAUCGAUAGGCCUAGUGUAUUAGGAAUGAUUUUACCUACCGAGUUGACAGCCCACCCCUCGUUAUUACUUUUUGCAGAUUAAGUUCCUUUUAAGAGGUAUGCGUAGCUUUGGAGUUAGAGAUUUCGUUUCCGUUUGCUAUUUGAAUAAGAAGAGGAAUAGACUCAUGUUUCUUUUUAGUUUAUUUCUGUUAUGAGCUUGUAAUUUGGAGUUUGAGACUUUUGUUAUUGUUAUGUUUUGGAAGAGAUUAUUUAGUGUUAGACGUAUUAAUUUGCGGAUUUAUUUGAAUAAGAAUUUGAGGUAUUUGAGCUUGGAAUUUAUAAGUAAGGAUUACGAUUUGUAAGUAACCUCAUUCUUCAUGUGCUCCGCACGUGUUAGAUUUGGGGUGUUAUAUGUUUCGUAUAACUUUUCAAGUAGAGCUUAUUUAAAUAGAAUAUUCGUCAAUAAAGCUUCUAUAAAUAUAGAUUUUACUAAAAAAAAUUUAGUUGUUUGGUUGUCAAUGUCCAAAUUGACGAACUUUUGUUCCUUUGCUAACAUGUAUUUGUUUUACUUAAUAAUAGAAGUUUAGCUUACAAUUACACCGGCGUCAAAUCAACAGAGCAUUUUGGCAGCCAGUCACAUUAUACAUUAUACUAAUAGCAUCGGCAAGAGUUUUCGGUUGUUGCAACUUGCAAUGCACGCGAUGAGAGAAAAUGAGAAUCUUUUCUAAUUGCAAUAAUGACAAACCUAAUCCUUUCGUUGGGAGUAAUUUAAUAAUCGUUUGUUAUAAUUGAAUAUGUAUAAAGAAAGGAAAAUUCUAUUCAUAGAUUUCGACUUAUUUUUUGUUUAAAGUAAUUAAUCAUUCAACCAUCUUCAUUUGCCUCUGGCCAGUGCCCUUGUAGAUUAGUUGAAGCGUUAAUUAAUUCAGAUAAUUACAACGUCCUUUUCGCUAAUUAAUUAUGAUUAUAUAUGUUUCAUAUAGCAAGUGGCUUUGUAGAUCUAAACCAAGUUGCUAUUUCAAAACGUUAAUUAAGUGAUUCUCCUCAUUGUCAUCAGCGUUAUACGCUCUAGGAAAAUAGCUCAAUUGUUUCCCUGCAUUGACUUUCAUUGGUAAGUGAUUUCUUAUGAAAUUCUUUUGAGCUUUCCUUAUUAAAAAAGCUUGAGCUUUUAUCACCUAAUGCGGAUAUCAAUUAACUUGUGAAUGAUUUUGCAAUGAAACUAGGAGUUAAAUAAGAUUUUUACAUGAUGAAUUUUUAUUUUUUUAAUUUUUUGAUGUAGUCAAUUUGCUAAUUUUAUGUAUUUCAUAUUCAACGGAAUUUGGGCACGGAAAGUUUGGAUUCUAAUAUUUAUAUGUUUAGCUUUAAUCAGUUUGACUUUCGUAAUCUUUUUCCCCUCAUCAUUAAGGGAUUCAGAAUUAGAGAAACGUUAGGAAGAGGAAGAAAAUAAUUUCGGAAAUAAGUAAGAGGGAAAAAAUUAUUAAAUUAGGAAUGAUUUUUUGUAGAGUAUGUUCCGUUUACUAAACUGAAAUCGAAAUGAGCUGGAAUCAGAAUGGAUAGAAAUGCGAAUGCGCUGGAAUGAGAAUAAGUAAUGAGAAUCAGAAUAAGUUGUUUACUUGAAUUGUAAGAAUCGAAAUCGAAAUGAGCUGGAUUGCAAUUACUUUGUCCUACAAUUAGAAUCGGAAUGAGUUAGAUUGUAACAAAUUACUAAAAGGUACUUAAUGAAUUAUUGUCAUAAUAUUAUUUUAUAUUUUAAUUAUAGUGAUUAUUUAUUCUAAAAUUAUUAUUAUUAAUUAUUUUCAAUAAUAUGUUAAUAUGUUAAUUAAUUUUAAAAAUUAUUAAUUAAUUUAUUAUAAUAAUAUACUAAUUAAUUAUAAUAAUUAUUAUAAAAAUAUAUUAAUUAUUAAUAAUGAAAUUACUUAUUUAAUUAUAAUAAUAUAUUAAUUAUUGUGAUUAUUUAUUCAAAAAUUAUAAUUAUUAAUAAUUAUUGUUAAUAAUGUAUCAAUAUAUUUUAUAUUAUGAAAUUGUGAUGUAUUGUAGACAAAUAAGGAAUUUGGUACAAUAAAUUCUUAAUAUCUUAGUACAAAGUAUGGUAAAAUGGUAUUUUAACUUAUUGUAGACAGAUUAAAUUUCGACACACUUAAUCCAUGAUAAAAUUAAUGGAAAAUAAUGAUAAUUUAUACAAUUAAUCUUUUGAGCAAUAAAAAAAUAAAAGAAAAAGAAGUUACUAAAUUAUGUUUACUGCUAAGAGUGAAUCCACAAUCCUAAAUAAUUAUUUCCAUCGUUUCACUUAAAUUAAAUAGUGUGAAUUUAAAUUCUAAUUUUUUGAUAAAUUAAAAAGAAAUAAAAAAUUAAAAUUUUUCUCUAUGGAUCGACCUCGGAUUGAUCAAUUUAUUUCAUAACAACACACUUUUAUACUUGAGAGUUAUAAAUCACUUUGAAGUUGUGUUAAGUUUUUGACGCUCUUACGGGGAAAAAAUAUUUAUUUUAUUUUAUGUAUGGGUCAAACUUGAAAGUAUAUUUUAAGAUAACUGCUAAUAUGCUCUAUUAGACAAUGAUAACCUAGUUGUUUGUGGUGUUCAUAAUGAGUUUAAUUAUGAUUAAACAAUUUAAAAUAUGAAAAAAUAUGGAAGAUGGCCGUAAUUAAAUUGAUUGCAUGAAAAUAUUUCAAUGAAAUUUUAAAAAUUUGGUACUUAUUAUCUUAUCAAAAGAUUUUUAAAUUAUAUUACUACUUCAACUUAACUCCUCCUGGAUUGAUUGUAUUGAAUUUCCAGCACUGCCAUUGCUUCUACUUGAAAGCCAUUUAAGUUUGUGUAAGCUACCUAUAGUUUGAAUAACAAUUUACUCAUGAAUUGCCGUUCAUGAUAACAAUUUGAUUGAAAGUGCGGCUCCACUAAUUGUCUAGAUGAUUUUUUCCCACAUGUUUGUUCUCGUACGACCCCAGAAUGCUGUUAUAUCAGUUGUAUUGGAAAUUAAUCAACUGGUUACAACUCUACACCCCAUCAAUAUUUAAGCAGUCUACAGAACAUUAAUUGUGUUUUGAAAUUUUAAUGAGUCUCACGUGUUUUUCACGUGAUAUGCAGUAAAAACAAAAUUAAAAAAAUGUGAACAUUCAGCCCCAAAAUCCCCAACUCCUUCCAAAUUGGUUCCGCAGCCCCCAAAUCCCUUAAACCCAAAUCACUCUAAAAAGACUCUCCUCAGCCAAAAAGAAAAAGGUCACCUCACCUCUCCUCUUCUUCUUCCAUGGCGAUCAACGGCGGCACAAGCACGGGCUGAUCUCCUUCGUCGGUAACGAUCAACGGCGGUACAAGCAUGGGCAGAUCUUUUUUUGGCAAUGAUCAACAGCGGCACAAGCACAGUCGUCCUCAGGUACGGAUUUGAUGUUGGUUGUGUUGUCAAGUAGCGAUUCAUGUUUGGAAGAGAAUCCGCUCGCAAGGACCUGGAGCACUUAAUCGAAGAUCUUAAGCGAGGAAUUCGCUUCCUCCUCAUUCCUAAUCGGUGCCUGGUUCAUCAGUAUGAUUAAGGAUGAAAAUUGAGAAAGAAGGACGCAUUAGGUUUGAGACAUUGGUUGAAAAGCGCUACCCCGGUGGCCACGCUGGAAACAUAUGUUCCGUGGCUUCUUGCGUUGUCUGUGAGGAAUAUGUACUGCUGUAGAAGAUAAUUAUGAAUCAAUGGUAAUUGGCGUGUUGGUUUUGGUGCCGAUUUCCUCUUAUUUUCCAGAAAAGGCUUGUAAUUUGUUCACCUCAAGAUUCAAUUUGUUAUUGAAAAUGGAUGGCUGUAAAGACCUACUGGCCUUUCAUUAUAUUAAUGUUUUUGACAGUAAGUUUGUAAUAGUUAGUGCAGGGAACUUAUUGAUUCUUGAUUAUAUAUAACGGUGGCCCUUAUUACUUUAAAAAAAAAAAAAAAAUUGAUGAUGGGUUUCGUUUUGUAUAAGUGUUUGGAGUGUUGGAAAAUGAACAUUGUAUAUUUUAGAUAGUUGAGUUCCAUAGUAGUGAAAAGCUACGGAUUUGUUUUCUUUGUAUUGAAAUGUGUUUUGACCAUUAUAUGUUGUUUGAUUGGUGAUAGUUUUAUGUUUGUCAGUUCCAGUAGUCUCUUAAUCGCCAUCUGGCAUGGAAACUCACUGUGAAUAUGUGAAGAAUGCAGUGAUCAUAAGGAGUAAAUGAACGAUCAAACAUGCUAAAAUUAAAUACCAAAAAAUAAAAUAAAAUAAAAUAAAAUUGGAACUGGAAGAGUAAAUAGCAAAAGAUUGGGCGAAAAUUGAAUACCAUAACAAAAAAAAAAUUAAAAUAAAUUCAAACGACAAGAGCUAAUUAAGAGCAAAAAGAUGCUUGACUUACCAAGAGCAAGGACCAAGCAAAUGGUUUUACAUUCGGGCUUGAUGGUGAACUGGUUGGAGAUGGGUACGAAUGUGAUCUCGUUGAGAUUUGGAGAAGAGAACGGGGGAAUGGCCACAAUAUCUUUGUUACUUUUUUUUUUAAACUUUAUUUUACUGUUGAUCACAUGAAAAUCACGUGCAAGUCAUUAAAAUUUCUAAACACAGUUACUGCUGUCGUUUCGAUGUUCUCGGGCUAUCACAUGCUCGGUACGUCUAUCACUACUCGUCAAAAAAAAUGACACGCGUUCAUUUCCAAGACGCGUGCCUUACUACCAUGACAUGAUUGAUGGCGCUUAAAUCAAUUGGUUUUUUUUUUUAAUUUAAAGAAUUUUUCAUUAAAAAAAUAUUUUAAUAUCAAAUUGCCUUCAAUGGCAUAACUGCCACAAGCCCAGUAACAGGACUAAGGGUACGUUUGAGAUUGAGGUUGGGCAGCUGUACCUUUUAAGCUACAACACUAAAGUGCUUGGUAAACACUAGCUGCUCUAGGUUGGAAGCUAUAUUAAUAUGAUUUUUCACUUGUAUAAUAGAAAAUAUAUUAUAUCUUUAAUAAUUUUGUCAAAUUUAUAUUUACUACAUAUUAUUAAUUUUUGUUUUAUAGUCACAGCUUUUUUUCCACAGCACCUGUAGCUUAAAAGAUACAGCACCUCAAUCCCAAACGCAUCCUAAUUAAAAAUUUUAGAAUUUUUGGGCAUGGAAUUGAAAAGAGUAGUAUUAAACAUCAGAAAGCUAAGGUUGUUCUGUUAAAGAAUUGAUAUUGACAUAAUUUUAUUUUGGUUUUUGGGGAAAAAAAAUUUGUUGACAAGCAAGAAAAUAUUUUUAUAUUUUACAAUUUAUUAUACAUAUUUUAUCGUAUUAAAGUAAUUUUAAUAAUAAAUAGAAGCAUAAUAUUAAAUAAAGUUUAAAUUAUUUUGAAUAUUAUAAAAAAUAAUUUUAAUAUUAUUAAUAGGAAGAUAUUUUGUUAAUUUUAAAAUCUUUUUAACCCAAAGGUUUAUUUAAAAUGUUUAUUAUAAAUAAAAAUAUAAAAUUAAAUAUCAUAAUUUAAAAUUUUUAAUAUUAUUUUAAGUAUUAAAAAUAUUUUAAUGUUAUUAGUCUGCUACAUAGAUCAUAUUACUUAUAUUAUAUUUGUAAUGACUAAAAAUUUUUAAAAUCAAAUUUUUUAGUUACUAUAUUUACGAGAUAUUAUGGUUAAAGAAAAGACCUUGGUGUUACUUUUUACAAAUUUGAGUGUCUGCAUGAUAAUUUUAUCAAAAUUUAAGAAUGUAUGUGUCCUUUUCUCCAAUAAUUUAUUUCACUUUUGAGGGGAAUCCAAUGAGAAAUAUGAUAAGAGAAUGUCAAUUAUUUGUCAUUUUCUAUUUUUUCUGUAAGCUAUUCAUUUUGAGCAUUAGUGAUCUUGUCUGGACUACUCCAAUUAUUGAUGUAACUCCAGUGGCUGCAUCCACAGUUGAAUAUAUGAUAGUGUUAGCUCUUAUUUGAGAAUUCAGAGGGAUCUUCUAUGUUUAUCAAUUGCAAUGUGCUAGUAUAAAUUUCUUUACCUCACAGUUUAUAUAGUCUUGCUGUUAAAGAACUCACUGAGGCAUUAUUGACUCAAUUUCAGUGGAGCAAUCGCGCGUAGUGGAUAAAUAAAGGAUAACAGAACAGAGCUGAAGUGCUAAAUUGGCUAUUAAAGAAGGGUGUCACAUGAUCACAAUCACAUUGGUGCACAACUAGAGUUAGGCAAAUUUUGUCUAUAUGUACUCUAAAUUCAGACAAACCAUACAUGCAUGAACAAAAAUUAAACCGUCGUUCUAAUCACAACAGUAAUUGAAGCUACAAAAGCCAGCAAAUCUGAACAAAGACUUAAAAGAAAGAUCUUAUUCAAGUUGUCCCCAAAAGACAGCUGAAAUGAAUAAUAUUGACUAUUGAUUGGGUCAAUGCUGAAUUACAUUUCAAUAGGAAAGCUUGGCAGCAGUUACAAUGUUUCCCCCUCUGAUUUUCGUCCAAAACAAAUUCAGUUGUAAACAACAAUCGAAGUAGAAAUAAUUUAUUCAUCAAAGAAAAUACCCAAGUUUUCAACAAACAAAUCUUCUUGUCUAAACUAAAAAAACUCAUCUCUAAAAUCUAUCUGCAAAAUAUUGGAAAUGAGGAGUGAUCCGUCAACUCCAUAAAUAAACUCAUGCAUAAUGUUAACAAUAAUGAUAAAUUACAUAAUAAUUAUUAUAAAGAAUCAUAAAUUGGAAACACUAAUCAUUCUACAAUCUAUUAUAUAAGUAAGAUAAAUCUCAUAAUAAGUUAAGUUAUAAUGUAAUAAAUAUUUUCAAUAUAUAAUUAUUUAAGAAGUCAUUUAACAAUAAAAUAUUUUUUUUAUUCAAUUGAUCAUAUAGCGUUAUCUAAACUCAUGACGAAAUUAUUAUUACUCACUUUUCUAAAAAAAACAUGAUUAACUUUUAGAGAAAAGUCAUGCCUUUUAGAAAGAAUAUUACCGUGACAAAAUUGAUGGUGAUUAAUUCUAUUUUUAAAAUAGAUUUAAUGCACAAAUAUGGUGACUUUUGGCAAAAAUUAGUUUCGGAAGAUAUAGUGGUAGAAAAUAGUGAUGAUUAUUGUUUAAAUGUGUAAAUAGCCGAAGCAUAGCCCGUGAUACCAAUAUCCAUUUGCACCUUCAUUUGGAUUAUCACAUUUCAUGAUAUUCUUUCGUUCAUGACCAUUGUUCAAGAUUUGAAUUUGAAUACAAAUUAAGCUGCAAGGGAGCUUACUUCGGUUUCUAAGCUUUUCAAUUGUGAUUCCUGCAUGCCUUGCUCUGAUACUAUUUUGUUACUUGCCAAUGUAACCAACCUUGUAAUUGGUCUGUAUAAGAAAUCAAGCCCUUUCAGGAUUGUUUUCUUUUGUUUCUCUAUUGUAGUAGUCAACUAAAUAAAGAAUGAACAACUGAACUUGAUCUAUUUUGAUGAAGACCAAGACCUCCAAUACUAAAUGAACUUUGAAGAAGAUUAAUCUACUGCUUUUAUUCAUCUUUGGACUAUGAAUUUAUACAAAGACUUUAACAGAAAAUAACAAAGACAUAGCUAAAUGAUAGCAACAAGUGCUGACUUAGUGGACCACUUCUACAAGUAAAAAAAGACUAAAUAUUUAUUUUGACUAUAACAACAACUACCCUGAUGAACAGGACUCCACAUCAGCCACGUGACAACUAAUUUCUCCUUAAUAUUAUUAUUAGUAGAAGUAGAUUUUCAAACUAGUCUUGAUAUAUUUCAAAGUUGUAUUAACAAUGUAUAUGUAUCUAGAUUGUAACUAUAUUUUUAAAAAAUAAAAUAUUUUAAUUAUUGCACAGUAAAUGUAGAAGAAUAUCUGUAAAAUAAUAUUAUUAGGACUAAAAAAAUAUUAUUUUAGAUAAGUUAUUUAUUUAUUAUUGAAUUGAUAAUUUAUUAAUUUAUUUCUAAAUGAUAUUUAUUAAUUUAAAGAGAGACUUUUUUGGUUUUAUGAAGAGUUUGUUUGGUACAUGUUUACACUUAUAAAGAAACACAAAAAGUGCUUCCUCAAGUCAAUGGUAUUUGCUUUAAUGGCUACGGUUCAUAAUAAUAUAGCUUAGUAAGGAAAUUUGUAAUUAUAAUAUGACUCUUUUAGUACAACUUUUCAAGUAGAAUUUAUUUAAGUAGAGAUUUUGUUAGGAGAAGUAUUGUUAAUAGAGAUUUCACAAAAAAAAUUUUAAUUAUUUGAUUAUAAUAUCCAAAUUGAUGAACUUUUGUUCUUUUGUUAACAUCUGUUUGUUUUACUUAAUAAUAAAACUUUAGUGGGUUUGGCUACAAAUAAAAGUUUAGUGGGUUUGGCUACAAUGCCGUUGGCAUUGUUCCCGGCACCAUGCCGGGCUCUAAAAAAGAGAGCCCGGCUGUCUUUGGCUGCCAUUUGGCAGCCAAAGACUUGGUGCAGCCGGUUAACAAACCGGUUGCACCAUAUUUUUUAAAAAAUAUAUAUUAAAAAUAGAAUAUAAAAAUGAAAAAAAUUAAAUAAAAUGUCAAAAAUAAUUUUUAUAAUAUAAUUAAUAGCAAAAGAUAAAGAAAUUAAAUUAUAUAAUACAAACCCUAUAGUACAAUAUGAUAUAAUUAAAUAAAAUGGCAAAAAAUAAAGAAAUUGAAAAUGAAAAAAAUUGUAUUUCAGUUUUAACGUUAGUUAUUGCAUGUCCGACGUCCCGAUUUCAUGUUUGACAUAAGAAGUUGCAUGUUUUGGAUAAAACCAAAAUAAAGAAUAUUCUGGAAUAUUCUCGUCUGUUUCAUGUUUGACGUCAAAGUUGCGAACUUUACGUGGUAAGUUGCAUAUUUCGCGUGAAGUAUUGCGAGUUUCAUAUUUAACAUCAGUUGUUGCAUUUUUUACGGUUGGAUUUCAUGUUUGACGUACGAUGUUGCAUGUUUUGAAUAAAGCCAAAAUAAAGAAUAUUCCGGAAUAUUCUCGUCCGUUUCAUGUUUGACGUUGAAGUUGAGAACUUUACGUGGUAAGUUGCAUAUUUCGCGUGAAGUAUUGCAAGUUUCAUAUUUAACGUCAGUUGUUGCAUGUCGAACGUCACGGUUGCAUGUUUGACGUAAGCUGAUGCAUGUCUUGAAUAAAGCCAAAAUAAAGAAUAUUCUCGAAUAUUCUCGUCUGUUUCAUGUUUGACGUUGAAGUUGCGAACUUUACGUGGUAAGUUGCAUAUUUCGCGUGAAGUUUUGCAAGUUUCAUGUUUAACGUCGGUCGUUGCAUGUCGGACGUCACGGUUGCAUGUUUGACGUAAGCUGAUGCAUGUCUUGAAUAAAGCCAAAAUAAAAAAUAUUCUCGAAUAUUCUCGUCUGUUUCAUGUUUGACGUCGAAGUUGCGAACUUUACGUGGUAAGUUGCAUAUUUCGCGUGAAGUUUUGCAAGUUUCAUAUUUAAUGUCAGUUCUUGCAUGUCCGACGUCCCGAUUUCAUGUUUGACAUAUGAAGUUGCAUGUUUUGGAUAAAACCAAAAUAAAGAAUAUUCCAGAAUAUUCUCGUCCGUUUCAUGUUUGACGUCGAAGUUGCGAACUUUACGUGGUAAGUUGCAUAUUUCGCGUGAAGUUUUGCAAGUUUCAUAUUUAACGUCAGUUGUUGCAUUUUUUACGGUUGGAUUUCAUGUUUGAUGUACGAUGUUGCAUGUUUUGAAUAAAGCCAAAAUAAAGAAUAUUCUCGAAUAUUGACGUUGAAGCUGCGAACUUUACGUGGUAAGUUGCAUAUUUCGCGUGAAGUAUUGCAAGUUUCAUAUUUAACGUCAGUUGUUGCAUUUUUUACGGUUGGAUUUCAUGUUUGACGUACGAUGUUGCAUGUUUUGAAUAAAGCCAAAAUAAAGAAUAUUCCGGAAUAUUCUCGUCCGUUUCAUGUUUGACGUUGAAGUUGCGAACUUUACGUGGUAAGUUGCAUAUUUCGCGUGAAGUAUUGCAAGUUUCAUGUUUAACAUCCGUCGUUGCAUGUCGGACGUCACGGUUGCAUGUUUGACGUAAGCUGAUGCAUGUCUUGAAUAAAGCCAAAAUAAAGAAUAUUCUCGAAUAUUCUCGUCCGUUUCAUGUUUGACGUCGAAGUUGCGAACUUUACGUGGUAAGUUGCAUAUUUCGCGUGAAGUUUUGUAAGUUUCAUGUUUAACGUCCGUCGUUGCAUGUCGGACAUCACGGUUGAAUGUUUGACGUAAGCUGAUGCAUGUCUUGAAUAAAGCCAAAAUAAAGAAUAUUCUCGAAUAUUCUCGUCCGUUUCAUAUUUGACGUUGAAGUUGCAAACUUUACGUGAUAAGUUGCAUAUUUCACAUGUAGUGUUGUAGGUUGCAUGUUUAACGUUCGUUGUUGCAUGUCCGACGUCCCGAUUGCAUGUUUAACGUAAGAUGUUGCAUGUUUUGAAUAAAGCCAAAAUUAAGAAUAUUUCAGAAUAUUCUCGUCUGUUUCAUGUUUGACGUCGAAAUUGCGAACUUUACGUCAUGAGUUUUAUAUUUCGCGUAAAGCGUUGCAGGUUGUAUGUUUAACGUUAGUUAUUGCAUGUCCGACGUCCCGAUUUCAUGUUUGACGUCGAAGUUGCGAACUUUACGUGAUAAGUUGUAUAUUCUACGUGAAGUGUUAAAUGAAUUUUGUUUUAAAAAUACAGUUUAACCUCAAAACUGUAUGAAACUAUGUUAUGAUCCAAAACGUUAUAAAAAUUUUCAAAUUGGUCCAAUUUUAGAAUUUCUAAUUAUUACUUUAUUAAACUCAAAACUUUCUGAAAUUAAGAUAUGAUCCAAAAUAUAAGAAAUUAUAGAAUGACCCAAAACAUUUAAAUAUUUUGAAAUAGGUCCAAAUCCGAAAUUUAAAACAAUAAUUUAUUAAAAUCAAAGAUUAUGAAAAACAACUUAACUCCAUAAAGACAUAUUCUUAUUGUUAAAGCACAAUACAUAAAUCUUUAUUUAAUCAACACAUGUGGUUUGUUAUCGAAAUCUCAAUACAACACAUUAGUCCAAAAUUAUCCAAAGCAUACGGAAAUAACAUAUUAUCCAUGAAAUAUCAAACAAUCAAAACAAAUCCAUGUCAUUCAAAACAAAUACAUAAUCCAAAAUCAUAAUGAAAUGUAGGUGUGUCCAAAUACAAGCAUAAGAGACUACUAAGGUGGUGAGGAUGGUGGUGAUGGAGGUGGAUACGGAUAUGGAAUGCCGAAGUGCUCAAAGAGGAGGCGCUGUCCAUGAAUAAACUGCUGCUGCUGGUGGUGAAACUCAGUCUGCCACACAGAGAGUGUCCUCACCUCAUCCAUAAGCUGCUGAAGAGUAACUUCUUCAAAAGUAGGAUGCUCGGGAUGUGGUAAAGAAGGUGCAGAGGCUGUAGGAGCCGAGGGAGAUACUGAAGGAGCUCGACGUCUACGCUGACCCCGAAAUGAAAGUGCAAAAACAGGUAGCUGAUGGGCUGGAACCACAGCAUUAAGUGGUCGAUCAUCACUUGGAGCAAGAAAGGUGAACUUUUUAUCAGUGACUUUUACCCAAGUGCCAUUACGACACUCAAAACCUAAAGAACUAACAGCCUCAUCCCCAAUGCUCUUAGACGGCCUACAUGAUGGUUCUUGGAUAGUGACGCUAAAGUAUUUGAGGAUUCGGGUGAUGAAAUGACCAUUCAGAAGGGAACGAGUAAUCAACUUAGGUAUACUAAGCAUGUUUCGGACAAUGGUGUAUCCUAAGUCGACUGGACGAUGUCUAAGAAUACAAUCAAUCAAGGCAACAUCCAUAUGAGAAACCUCAUCCAAAUGGCCUGAUCUAUGAAGCACAAUACUCUGAAUAAAACGAAGUAAUAUCCGAGUUUGAAGACAAAGACAUUGGGUGCGAAAAUGGAUAGUACAAUCAUCAUCCGAAAGAUCAAUACGACGACAUAUAUUCUUAACAGCAUCAAUAUGAACAUAAUCAUCAAUAUCAGGAGGUUUCCUAGGUGAAAAAAUUUCUAGGCCAUCAUCGGAAGUUCCUAGAAUAGAGUUCAACUCCGAAUCAUCAAACUCAAUCGAAACUCCUUCAACUGUGGUGAUUACUCGAUUCUCUUUCUCCGCGGAACAAUCCAUAUUCGAGUAAAACACUUUCACCAAGUCGGGAUAUACAUUUUCCUCAAAAACAAUUGAAUUAAGCCAACCAACAUCUUCCAACAAUUGCAAUAAAGUUCUAUUACUAAUACUAAGAUUAUUCAACCAAUCCGGUAAAACAAAAAAGGUUUGGAGUACCUCACGAGUCAUGAACUGUUGGUGAAAUCGUUUGGCUAGAUGUUUGUGGUUCUGAAAGUGUCUGGCCUCAAAGUUGGAUUUAUUGGAUGUGCCCCCUGCUUGUCGUGACCGGUUGGUAUGUUGAACCGGUUCUUUGCCUUUUCUUCGAAUCGGCCGUGAGCUUGACAUGGUGAAUUUUUUUGAUUUGAAGUGAAAUAAAUCAAUGAGAAGGGAGAUAAUAAGGAUGGAAAGAGAUUUUGAGAAGCAAUUUCGAUCAAAAACGGCUUCAGAGGGGGAAAUCUAGAGAGAGAAGUUUCGGCUUAAACCAUAGAAUUGAUUUCGGAUCUAUUGAUUUUGAGGUUCAAAAAAGGUUUGAAGGAUGAUUUUGGAUACAAGAACGGAUGGGAAACAAGUUUCAUGGAUCCAUUUGCAUAAAAAACCUGUGAAAAUGAUGGAUUUUGGAGAGAAAACGAGAGAGGAAUAUUCGGUUUUAGAGAGAGAUAGCUAACCGGUUUACCGAAAGAUAAAGGAGGAGAUGAACAGUUUAUAUACUCGCGAAUCCGGCUAUCCGGAAAUUAUUAACCGGCUAACCCAUUGUAGGCAGUGACCUACCCACGCGAAUUCAGAUUUCCGGUUUGAAUAACCGGCUAUCCGGUUUCGUCUCCAAGAAAAAACAGCAAACUGCCUCACUCGGCUGAGAUAAAAAAAAACCAACUGUGAUAGGGAAUGCAUAAUUUGUUUGAAAGAUGAAGUUUCACUUGAUUUCUUGCCAUGUGCGUACCAAGUUUUGUGUGCCAGUUGCAGUGUCAAAAUUAUCAUAGUUUGUCUUAAGAAGUCUGAAAGAUUAGAAAAAGAGAUUGCUAAGUUCAAGAAAUGAAAGUGAGAUAAAAUUACUUGUGUCGCUUCUUGUGUCUUCCCAUUGUUUAAUUCUGAUAUUGUUGCUUACUAAAUUAACAAAGAAAGACCAGCACAAUGACUGCUGAUGAAUACUUUGAGAAGCAUCCAGAGCUAAGGAAAGAAGUUUGAUGAUGAAAUCCGGAAUGAUUAUUGGGGAUAUUAAUUCAGUCAUGUGCAUUCAGUUAUCGGGAACAUCUUCUUUCAUGCAGACUCUCGAGUUCAUCCCAACCACCAUGCUGUUUUGGUGCAUCAUAACAAGAAUAAGCCAAUUGUUUUACUCCAUUUUGGUUGAUUUGACUAUCACAAAAAAUUCCAUGAUAUUUGGACAUUACUCAGAAUCUAGCUAUAAUAAUUUCUCUUUUCUUAUUUGCCAAAUUUGCAUUAAGAUUUUUUUAGAAGAACUUUUAUGUUUUCACAUUCAGAAAGAGUUAAAGCAAAGCAAUUGCAGUAGCAGUGUGUAUGGAAUUUGUUGAAUGGAUCCAUUUGAAAGUCCAUUUUUUAUUCUUUAAUGUAAUAUCUAAUAUUAAAAAAAUCUUAAAACAAAAAUAUGAAUGAAUUGAAAAAUCAAAGUAGUAUUCCACAUUCCCAUGUAAAAAUAGAUUAACGACACCACUUUAAGAAAAGCUAAAAAUAAAAAUAGAUAUAUAUUAUUAAACAAAAUGAAAGUUGGAACUUACAAAGAGCUAAUAUUAUUACUUUAAUCUUCUAGUAUUUAGAGUUCAUCUUGUGGCUGAUAUUAUUGCUUGGCUACGUGAAACCAUUUUAGUCUUGUCAACACUAUCUUGUGGCUGAUAUUUUUUAUUGAAAUGCUCUUCAUCCACCAACUUGGUUCUUGUCAGUUUGCUUGGUAACUUCUUCUUGUUUGGUUUUGGUGCAUUAUUUAUCUAUUCACUCGUUAGUCAGACACUUUUUUUUUGUAUUUUUUGUUUCUACGCACAAGACUGAUAAAAUUAAAUGGGCUUAAUCUUUUGUCUUCCUAAUAGCAAUAUUCAAUAUUUAUUUAGUAAUAUUUCUAGAACUCUAAGAAAUAACUGGAUUUAAAUUUUAUGAAUUAUAUAUUGUGCUAAAAGCACAAAGACAAUCAUAUGAGUGUAUAUUAUUAUUAAAAUUAAACAAUUGGAUUUAACCUCCUCUUCAUACAAUUCAUAUACAUUGGCUCGCUCUCGCUCUCUUUUCUACAUGCAUGUGUCAUUUACAUUUAGGUAUUUGUAUGCGCGUAUAUUAUUAUAAUGUAAUCCCUCUAAAAAAUGAGACCAAUCACAGUCCAAACAAAAAAAAGAAAGAUAAAGAAAAGUUAAUACUUUAAUGGCAUUGUUAAUACGUCACAGUAAUCAUGUCCCUCGAAUCCGGAUAACUGGAUUUAACAACCGGUUAUCCGGAUGUUGACUGCAAGCAACAUGCUUGCUGUCACGCGAAUCCGGAUGACCGGAAGUCAACAACCGGUUAUCCGGAUGUUGACAGCAAGCAUGUCAAUCGAAACCGGAUAACCGGAUUUCCUAACCGGUUUUCCGGUUAUUGCAUGUCCUGUAUAAAGUUUAAAAAAAAUAAAGGUAAAAUUACCACGUUUGGUUGGUUAGGUUUGCAAUAAAUAUGAUGAAAAAAAAACUCACCUUCCCUCCAUUAAUGAGGGAUUAUCCUAAGGCUCAUGUCCAAGACUUCUUCACAAAAAACACAGUCACUCCAAAACAUAGUCCCAAAUACUAUUACUGCGGUCUCGUUCAACAUCUAUGGUGCCUAGUUUUCAACUUUUCAAAAGUUAAGUUUCUCUCCAACAAAGGUAUGUGUUGUAAUUUAAGUAGUUGAUUUGUGCUCCCAUAGAUGGUUUCAGAAAUAUUAUUAUAUUAAAUUAUUAAGAUAAAGGGUGUGAAUUAUGUUAUUAACAAAGUUUUGGUUGAACAGGGGUUAAAUAUGAGUAGCCCACAUAGUUCCAGCAACCUAGGAAUAUCCAUUGCUCCAAAUGUUGGUUUACAGGUAUCGGACGUACUUGGCAGUCAUUUCGACUCAGUAGAAGAUGCAGAACUGUGGUAUAACAAUUAUGCCCGAAUGCUUGGUUUUGGUGUUAGGAAAGAUGAUAUGCGGCGCGGAAAAAAGUCUAGACGAAUCACAAUUCGACGUUGGGUUUGUCAUUUCGAAGGGGUAAGAGAUGAAAGACAAUCUCAAAACUGCAGUAGGGUGCAGAACCACGACCUAUAACACGAACCGAGUGUCGGGCAUCAUUUCGAGUGAAUUACGAUGAUUCAGUUGGUAAAUACAUCGCCAAAGAAUUCAGGCCUGAGCACAACCAUCAUUUGGCUUCUACUAAUGGAGUUCAUCUCAUUCGUUCACAUCGAAAGGUUACUGAUGCAGAACUUGCGCAAGCAAAGGCAUUAAGGCAUGUUGGUGUGAAGACUUGCCAAUUCAUGGAUUACAUGGCUGAUCAGGUAGAGGGGCCUCAAAACCUAAGGUUCACACGCAAAGACAUGCAAAACACGCUAGAUGCUUCCACUCGUGCCGAGGUUGGAGAUUCUGACUCAGACACAACUAUAGCAUACUUUGCGGCAAAAUCUGAACAUGACCCUGGGCUUUGCUUUGAGUACACACUAGAUGAUGAAAAUAGACUACGAAAUUUGUUUUGGGCUGAUUGUGUAGCUCGUUAUGACUAUCAGUGUUUUGGUGAUGUGUUGGCAUUCGAUGCAACGUAUAAGACUAAUGUAUAUCAUAAACCCCUCGUUACACUUGUCGGAACAAACCAUCACUUCAGAACAACGGUCUUCGGUUUUGCUUUGCUCGCAGAUGAGACAAUUGACUCAUACACGUGGCUGCUACAAACUUUUCUAUCCACUAUGGGCAACCGAAUGCCCGUGUCUGUAAUUACUGAUGGUGACAAGGCAAUGUCGAAGGCAAUAAAGACAGUGUUUACCGGGUGCAUCCAUCGUCUUUGUUGUUGGCAUCUUGAGCGCAAUGCGCAGGCUAAUUUGAAGAACGAAGACUUUACGAGAAAAUUUCGUGAUUUGAUGUUGACACCUAUGACGGUAACUGAAUUUGAAACCCAAUGGUCAGCUGUAGUGGCUGAAUUCGCACUUGAACAUCAUGCAUGGGUACAGAAAAUGUAUUCAAAGCGGUGCAAGUGGGCGGAAGCUUAUCUUAGAGGAACAUUCUUUGCUGGUAUGCGAAGCACUCAACGAUGUGAAAGUAUGAAUGCAUAUCUUAGCCGAUUUGUCCAACAUAAACUAAAAUUGUAUGAGUUUGUGCGACAAAUCGAUCGUGCUCUCCGCAAUAUUCGUACCACAGAAACAUCCGAUGAGUUCAAAACCAAAUACAGUACUCCUGUCUUAAGAACUCACUUACAGAGCCUCGAGAAACAUGCUGCACAAUUGUUCCCGUUAAGAGUUUUUUCGAAGGUUAGAGAUGAGAUGCUGCGAGAAAGAGCGGUCAUCGAAGUAAAAACUGUCAAAGCUGUCGAUGUUGCAUUGUACACAGUGACUGAAUUUAGGACACCUACAACAUGUUGGAAUGUCAUCCACAAUCUACAAGAAAACCACAUACAGUGUUCGUGUCAAAUGAUGGAGUUUGUUGGGCUUCCUUGUAGGCAUAUGUUUCAUGUCUUGAAAGUGGAACAAAUUGAAAAGAUUCAUGACAAUAUGGUUUUUCGUAGAUGGACAAAAAAAGCCAAGGAGCACAAUACUUGCAGGACCACAAAACCAGAAGUUGACACUGAUGUUUCAGAGAUGGCUAGAUUUAGUGCAUUGUCUGCAGCCUGCAAUAAAAUGUGCUACAAUGCAGCAAAAAACGUUGAAGCCUAUGAAAAUGCAUUGGUAGAAAUCAAUCGGCUAACAUUAACUUAUGAACAACAAUCUGAACGAGACGGUCUCCCAAAUAAAAAAUUGCGGAUGGGAACAAAACUUCGUAAUCCUGCAGUUGUAAAAACCAAGGGCGCUAUGUCUAAAACAAAAUGUGUAGCAGAAAGCUCUAGAAAGUGUGGAAAAUGUCGUCAGGUUGGGCAUACAACACGAACUUGUUCUAUUCAAGGGAAUGAUAGCACCCAGCUAAGGUAUGUCCCAAGUUCUUUAUCAUGUGUUUAAUUAUUGCAUUGUUGGAUAUUUCAUUGCAAAUAACUUUCAUGGUAUUGAUUUAGUGUCGAUGGAAACUGUUUUGCCGCAUUCGAUUCAUCAAGCACCCAGAAUCUUGGAGCCUCUACUGGUGUCAAUCCAACAUUGUUAGGUCAUGCAAGCAACCAAUUUUCAAAUGUUUUUUAUUGGUGGCCUCAUUAAACAAUGCCAUUAAAAUGACUCAAUAUGUAUUACCAUUUGAAUUCCACUAUCAUGUACUAACAUGACAACCAGUUUAAUAUCAAAUGAUGAGAUGUGAACACUGUUAACAUGCAUAUGUUCAUUAUAGUUAAAUUAUGUCUCGGCCAAGAAUACAUAACCAUGUCAUAAAUUUAAAGAUAAUUCUCCAUUACAAUUGAUUUUACAACCAUCGUAAGCAAGAAGACAAAAAAAUUCACGGUAUUACCUCCCAACAUGUUUCAAACAUCUUACAACAAAAAAUAGUAUGCAAUCACUUGCAUAAUCAUUCCCUACUAUAGUUCGAUAUCUAAGCGCGUGUUCUCGUGUUAACUUUCUUCUUCUUACGAAUGUUGCCGCUUUGUUGGUGAAAUGACUUUUGCACUUGAGAGGAUACAGGGUUCACCAUUACAGCAUGAAUCGCAAACUGUGCAUUGCUUAGUUCCAGCAAUUUAUCUCGAUUUUGAUUCAAUGCAGAAUUAAUUAGUUGAAUGGCUAGCCUACCUCGUGUAUCCUCAGAUGUGAACUAGUCAAUUUGAAAGGAAACCAAUAUUACUUUCAUAUAAUAAGUAGCUUUUAUAUAAUUAUGAAGUUAACAAAAUUCUGAGUUCAACAAUUAAACAAGUUUGGCAUAGUCGUACCAAAGUGGACGAUUUCUUCGGAAUAAAUUCUGGGCUGUCCAUAUAGUUUAUCACAUAAACCCCACAGUCAUAUCCAUUCCUUUGCUUUGGAACUCCAAUGCCCCGGUUGAUUGGAAAGUCUUGAAACUUCAUGUGUUGCAUAUUGCUUGGCAAUUGGGGCUGCAUAAUCCAAUCCAAGGAAUGUAGCUGUCGGCAAUGUUGAAAACCAGACAAUAUUAUAGAUAUGAAUAUAACACAAUAUACAUAACUGAUAAUGUUAAAUAGAUAACAAAAAUAAAGAACAUGAUUAAGAUACAAUGCGCAUGGCUUGAUCGUGCCGUCUUCUAUUACUGCGGGGAUCUGGAAGAGGAUCCCAUAUUUCUGCACUUGUAUUUCUGACAUUCACGAUCAGUAGGUACCAAUGAGAUGAUUCAUCAUUUAUUGGCACAUAAAUCUAACAUUUCAAUUGUCAAUGUCAUACACCAAGCACACUAGUAGAAACUGAAAUAAGUUAAAGGUUAACAAACUAACCUUUUGACACUUAUGCACCUGUUGCAUAAAAUUCUUUCCACAUCUAGCUGCCCUUGCAAAACAAUCCACCUCAUCUCCGACCAUUAAAACUGCUUGCUACACAUAAUAAAGACAACGUUGAAUAAGGAAGUUGUCAAUAAAGAAACCAAAGCACAAUGCAACAAGUACCGGCGAGACUCACAGAAUAUCUUGUUGGUAAAUACCAGUUCAUUGGCACAUCUUUCUCCACCACCUACUGAAUGAGGGUGAGGUGAUGCGCUUUCAUAGAAAUCACCUAAAAGUGAUCAUAUUUAUUGAGAUAUAUAAUAACAUGUAAUAAACGAUAAACAUAUAUUGUGACAUCACCAAAUGUUGAAACCUAAUACCUCGCCACAUAGAUAAGCCCCCGGCAAAAGAGUCAAUAAAGAAUGCCGAUUAAGAAUUUCGCCGCAACUAGAAACAAUGAUUUCACUAAAGAUAAAACACGGUAAUUUUUUAGUCGUAUAGCAUAACAACUAUAUACAGAAAACUAAUUUCAGUCUUCUGAAUUUAACCUUCCCUCUGCGUCCUUGUUAAAAGCAUAUUGAAUAAGCUUCAAUUCUUCCAGCGUAACUGGAUCAUUGACUUGAAACGGACCAGCUUUAUACUUGGGAUUUGCUCCCCUGGACACUUGAUCGUACGGUGAAAGUUGAUAUCGGCCUGGCCUACGAUUCCUACUUGGUCGCGUUGGCAGGACACUGAGACUAGUAGAUGUUUGAGGUUCUUGCUUAAGUUGAACUGGUUCAUCUAUAUCCUUUAUAAAAAAUAAAUUUAUAUGUAAGUUACUUCAUAAGUGAGUUAUCAUUGAAAUCAUUUUAAGAAAACGACGUUAUAAAACUGUACCUCAUCUCGGAGAUUAGGUGGUGGAAUAGGGACAAAGUGGGUAGGAUCUUUGCGAAAUUCACCGAUUCCUUCUCUUGUCCCCAUCCAGCCCAUUAAUUUAUCGAGGCUCAGGUUCAAUCUGCGAUCCACAGAGUCCUCGUCGCUAUCCAUUACCAUUUUGUUUUUUUCCAUCAGUAGUUGGCUCGGUUUUUCUGACUGGACAUGUUGGUUCUACUAUUUUCAAGCUCGGAGAUUGCGGGCAUGGAUCAGAUGGUUGUUUUGAUAGUGCACCAACCGGAGACUUGGAUCUCAAUUCCUCCAAAGACUUCUCAACCAUUUCCAUUCUCACAUUGAAUGAAUCCAUUUUGUGUUCAAUUCUGUGGACACACUGUGUUAGUACCCUAAAAGCUUCCUCCAUAUUAACAGUGCUCGGCCCAACAUCUUCGGUUUGUUCAAAAUGAGCGAAAUUUCUUUCGAGCUGCAGAAAAUUUGAUUCACGCAUUGGAACCUAAAAUAAAUAUGCACAACAAUCAUACAUAAUGACAAUCAAAAUAUAUUCAAUUAACCGUAAACAAAAUUAAAUACAUGUGUGAACAAGACAAAAAAUAAAACAAACCUCAGUACUGGUCAUGUCCCCAAACUUUUUCCGCCAAUUCAAUAAGCGCCGAAUCUCUUCCUUGGUCCAUACACUAACAGGGCAAACUGUUCUGUCCAUGGAACACCGAUCAUAUAAAACAGCACUAAAGUAGAACAACUGUACAUUCAAAAAACAAUUACUACGUCAUUUUAUUUUUCGUAUUUGGAAAAUUAAUUAUGGCAUCUAAGAUUUCUUAAAUAUACCUCUAAAAACACAACACAACCACUAACUGACUUCACUUGAUUAUCUUUAUACUUCGCUAUGCCCUCCCACAGAAAGUUGAAACACCAUGUAGCCCAAUUCUUUUUCCUAAUUAAUUGCACAUCUUUUAGGGAAUGCAGAUACAUCGGAUUGAUGUAGCUGGCACUUGUGGGACACAAUACAGUUCCUAGAAGAAACAAACAAAACAUGAUCUUAAAGUCAUCAUCACUACUCUCACUAGCUAUUAUUCUUUCACUAACUGCGGCUAUUUCAAUUCCUCUUCCACUUGUUCUAUACUUGGCACGCAGUUCAAUUAUAUCACCCGCUUCUUCUCGGAUGUAUACUGGUUCCCCUCCAUCUUUGAUCCCCAUUACGAUGCUGAAGGUUGUAGGGUUUAAACAAAACUCUCUCUCGUGCAAAACUAUACAGUGCCUCUUUGUAUCACAUUGUUGGACAAGUGUUUCACAGAAGUCUUGUCUCAGGCGACCACAUCGUAAUUCUAGCAUGCUUCCGAAGCUAAUUUCUCUAAUUGCAGCUUGUUGGUCGGCCGAUAGUGUGGAAAUGACCUUAGUGAGUGCACUGACACGACAACGAGAUAAAUUACAUUGGCUAUGCUUAUCCCCAAUUUUUUGUUCUUCAUCUUGUUUUUCAAUACUCCUUUCACCAACAUUUGAACUUGGGUCCUCAUGCAUCGUACCAAAUCGGCACUUCUCCUCAUUCGUUAAUUUCUUCCAUUUUUCAACAAUUGUCGCCCUACAAACUUUUUUGAUCCCUUCUUGCCUGACCUUUUCUGCUUCAUGCUUACUGUACACAACAUUUUAGUUCAACUAAUUACGUCAACAAAAUUGUUAUAAUAAGAACCUUAUUCAAAGCAAUAAUUUUAUACUUACAAAAAGUGUAUCCACGCUCUCUGACCAGGUCCUCCCCUUCUGCCUUAUGUGGACUCCAUUUUAUAACUGUAUGCUAUAUUUUAAAUCCUGAAAUAGACCACACAUAAAUGUAGUAUCAAGGCCGGACCCAUAACAAUGGCUAAGUUCUUGGCAAAUUAUUGAGCGCUCAUCUUUAGUAUUCCUACCAAAGACUGUAGAGCUCAAAACAAGCAAACAACACCUAAAACCAAACAAGAAAAAUUUAGGGUUCCCAUAGAAAAAUAACACUUAAAAACCAAAUCUCAAAAAAUCAACCACAAAAUAGAAAUAAAUUAAAAAAUGCCAUUGAAUUUUUACCAACUAAUGCCAUUGAAACCACGCAAAACCAUGGGAACAUUGCAUCCCCUUCUAAAUAUCUUUCUUCAAUUUAAUGCUUGAAUUACAGUACAUCAAUCAUAUCAGGAUUGAGGAUUUUCUUGCCAAUUUCAUGCUUCCAAGCCAUUAAUCAUCUCUUCAACAUCAAUUUUUCAUCAUCUAAAUAUCUUUUUUCACUCUAAAUUACCAAACUUCUAAUUGUUUCAAAUCUCUAAUUAUUUCACACAAAAUUUAUAGUACAUCACAAAAACCACAAAGGUCAAAAUUACCUCAUCACCUUCUCGUUAACUCACAAAAUGAAAAGGAAAGAGAGGAACUUGUGUUCAUCUUCAACACCUCAGGAUGACAGCGACCGCUUCAUGGAUUCCACUUCUUAUUUGCUUUGAACGAGAUGGUGCCUUUGAUCUUCUAUGAUUACUAAACAAAUAGAAGAGAGAAAUUUGAGAGAAAUUUGUGAUUUCAAAGUGAGAUGUGAGAGAUUGGGAAUGGCCUGGGUGAAACCCUCAAAAAGCAAAAUUUUGUUUUGCAAGCUUUGGGAACCGGUUUAAUAAGUUAACAAUUUUUUCCUCUUUUUUAUUUCUUUUCAAUCUCAGCCGUUGGAUUCAUUUUACUUGAAUCCAACGGCUGCGUUUACAAGCCGGCACAAUGCCGGGCCUCAAUGCCCGGCAUUGUAGCUUUAGCCAAGUUUAGUUUACAAUUACACCGGUGUCAAAUCAGCAGAGCAUCGGCAAGAGUUUUCGAUUGUUGCAAUUUGCAAUGCAUGUGGUACAUGCACGCACUAAUAAAGAAACACAAAAAGUGCAUUCUCAAGCCAAUAGUAUUUGUUUUUAAUCGCUACUUUGCAUAAUAAUGUAGCUUAGUUAGGAAAUUUGUAAUUAUAUUAUGCGUCCGUUUGGUAUAACUUUUUAAUUAGAACUUAUUUAAGGAGAACUAUUGUUUGUAGAGUUUUUAUAAAUAGAAAUUUUAAUUAAAAAAAAUUAUAAUUAUUUAGUUGUCAAUGUCCAAAUUGAUGAACUAUUGUUCUUUUUGUUAACAUGUGUUUGUUUUACUUAAUAAUAAAACUUUAGUUUACAAUUACACCGGUGUCAAUUAUACUAAUAGCAUCGGCAAGAGUUUUCGAUUGUUGCAAUUUGCAAUGCACGCGGUGAGAGAAAAUGAGAAUCUUGUUUAAUCCUUUCAUUAGGAGUAAUUUAAUAAUCGUUUGUUAUAAUAGAAUAUGUAUAAAGAAAGGAAAAUUAUAUUCAUAGAUUUGGCUUAUUUUUUGUUUAAAGUAAUUCAGAUCAUUACAACGUCCUUUUCGCUAAUUAAUUACAACGUCCUUUUCGCUAAUUAAUUAUGAUUAUAUACAUUUUCAUAUGGCAAGUGGCAUUGUAGAUCUAAACGACGUUGCUAUUUCAAUACGUUAAUUAAGUGAUUCUCCUGAUUGUCAUCAGCGCUAUACCCUCUAGGAAAAUAGCUCAAUUGUUUUCCUGCAUUGAUUUUCAUUGGUAUGUGAUUUCUUAUGAAAUUCUUUUGAGCUUUCCUUAGUUAAAAAGCUUGAGCUUUUAUCACCUAAUACUGAUAUCAAUUAACUUGUGAACGAUUUUAUACCCUCUCUUUUUUUUCUUUUUUUUUAAGUACUCUGUUGAAAGCCAAAGUUCCUUUGGCCAGUUAAUUUAGAAGUGAAGGAAAGAAUAAAGUUAGGCCUCGACGUCUUUUGAGAUUAGAAAUACAUUUUGAAUGCUUUAAUAGAUGCAGAGCAAACUGGCUCGAUAUCUAACUAUUUUAAGAGCUAAAAUCAUUUAUUAGAAGUUGUAGCAUUAAAAAAAAUGGGCUUGAUAUCCAAUUUUGUUAUUGAAUAUGUCUCACGUGUUACUGGCAGAUGGCUAUGCUAGGUUUUAUUGCUCCUUGAAUUUGAUUGAAAAAUUAUUGAGGCGGACAAGUUUGGACCAUUGUUGGACACUGAAACUACACAUCAGUCUUAGAAAAUUGUAAUUUUGUUGGCUUAUCAUGAUUUUGAUCGCCUCACAUUGAUUUUCCUAUGACGUCUCUGUAGAGUGGCUAUGCUUACAUUUUUAGGUAUUUAAUUCUAAAAAUUAACUUAUUAGAUGGAAGGACCAAUUCUACCUGUAAAUACAAGUGGCUUCCCUUUACCAACUCAUACAAGACACAACAAUAAUCUUCUUCAGAAAAAACCACCGUCGGAGGGCUAUUUUCGUUCAACAUAAAUGAGUUGUUCCGCCACCAUAUUUUAAGGGUUUGCUUCUAAUACAACUUGGGGGAGCUAGGGCUAAGAUUUCUAAGAAUCAACAUAAAAACCUUGCCUAUUGGAUGGAAGGACCAAUCCCACUUAUGAGUCUAAAUGACUAAUUUUUGAGGACACAACUCAACAGACCAAUAUAAACUUUUGACGUCCCAUUUUAUUACUUUCCUGUGUUUUUACUUUUGAUGCUGUCUAUAGCCCUACUAUUCUAUUAAGCAGAAAAUAUUUCAAGGCACUCUCGGUCCAGUAGAUAACUUUGGUAUUUAUUAUCUAUUUUCUUUCCAUUUUAUGUAAACCCCGAUCUUUACCUCUGAUUGGUUGUAGAUUCUUUUGUUGCUUUGGGGUUAGGGGAUGGUUUUCAUAACUAUUAAGUUGAUCAAUGCAGAAAAUCACCAUCAAGAAAUGAUAAAGGAUUGUUAGUUCUAUCUGACAAACAACAUUAAUAUGAAGGAUGAUGAUUGUUCUGUUCAAGAGUUUAUAAUGACAUAAUUCUACUUUGGUCUUUUAAAAAAAGUAAUUUAGAAACGAGUAUGUGAGUGAUGACUUUUACAAAAUAAAUUACAUGCGCAGUGAUGAUUUUGACACAUGAAAAUGAAAAAAGAAAUAUAACUUGUGAAUAAUAAUUGAAGUACCUGCUAUUGUUAUAUUGGGUAUUGAUAAAUGGAUGGUUUUGGAAGAAUUGAAAAUGAUGGCAUAAGUAAACCGAAGUUAAGAGAAAAGAGAAAGAGCAUUUGAACUUUACUAGUAAGUAAAGGCAAAUUUCUUGGUUCAAGAAAAGAUAAGAGAUAUCAAACUAGCAAUAGGAAAAAGGAGGAAGGUUAAGACAGCAUCUUAACAAAAGCUAAAGAAAAGAAAAACUUAGUUCAAGCAAAGAACAAUGUGCUAAUGUCGUGUAAUCUUGUUUAAUUUCUUUUUCUUCUCACAUUUUCCAGGGCUUAAAUAAUACAAUAUACAUUUUCAAGCAAAGAACAAUAUGCAAUUGCAGUACUUCUGAGCACACAACAACAAAUAAAUAGUACAAUAUACAUACCCACUAAAUUAAAAAAAAAAUAUUAUUCAAGUUUGUGGACAAUACUGUAGCCAUGCCGUCGUCGAAAUCUACUGACAGCUGAAACAAAGAAAGAAUGGAUGAAUGCUGGAUCACAGUUGAAAUUGAAGGUCUGGUAGGUGAUGUUUCCCUCUCUGAUUUUACCUAAACAAAUACAAAAAAAUAAGAAUCACAAAUGAAAAUCUGCUAUUACACUGUUCUUACUUAUUAAAAUACAGAGGUUUCUUUGUUUCUCUGCAGCAAUGUCCAUGGCUAUUAGAAACAAGAACAAUUAGACCAGCAUUUGCAAGAAUCCUUUAAGGUAUUACUGCAGAUAUAAAUCCACUGAGGAAAUGGAAAAAGUGAAUACCAAAUUAGGCAAGUUAAAUGAAGAUUGAGUUAUCAUAGAAGAAUAAAACUCAUCCAAUUCAAUCCAUCAAAUUCCAUAAGGAUACAACUGGAUGUCAUACUGCUGCUCCAUAUCCUCAAGAGCCCGUAGAUUUUGCCUCAACUCUGGCUGAGGCCAAUGUAAGUCCAAUUUGCAAAAGCUCUUUAUGCACCAUAGCUCUUCAGGAAGCUUUCUCAAGUAAGCACAAGGGUUGACAAUUAUGCUCCCAAGUUUUGGCAUUGCUCCAGCCCCUAUCGUCCACUCCUCUAGCCAACAAAUUGAUUUCAGGUGCAAUACUUUGAGCUCCGGGAAACCACAAGAGCAAACACAAGCCAGUUUUCUUCCUGAAUAUGAGUUCUGCUUCAAUUUCAGCACUUGAAGGUGUGGAAGCUUGUCUAGUGUUAGCAUGGUAUCCGCCAAUAACUC
rnacentral:lncRNA from 1 species